rnacentral:lncRNA from 1 species
GGUAUAUAUUAACUCUUUCAAUUUACAAGAAUUUUCUUGACCACUCAAUAUAGCAGCAUACAUUUUUUAUACUUUAAAUGUGAUUAAGCAGAGAAGCCUGAAGUACUUUUCUAUAAUUAACUGCUCAACUGUGUUAGAGAAUGAAAACAGCUUUCAGAAGUAGAUCUGACAUUCACCAACAGCCGGGAGAGGACAGAGCUGAUGUCUUUUCUACCUAUGAACGAACAGUUUUGUCCUUCAGAGGUGGUGACCUUGGUUUCUUUCUGAAAGAUACCUGAACUCUAGCCAAUGCUGCUUUGGGAUUUGAUGUACCACCUGACCCAUCUCAAAGGAGAAAGAAGAAUAAAGUUUUUCAAAGGUCACAUCUCAGCCAUUUACAAUUUUUUGUUAUGUUUCUGUCAUGGCUGAAGACUGUAUUUAGACAAUUGCAACAAAAACAGCCAAAGUCAAAAUGAACCAAUGAACACAACAGAAAUGGAGAAAGAAGGGGAAAAAAAAAGAGCUUCUGUCUAGGGUUCAAAUGCUUCCACUCGUAAGUCUUAACCUUUUUGAUAAUUAUAUUAUGUGCAGCGGCAAAGAAACAAAAGGGGAUAAAGGUCUUAAGAGUUAUAUUGAUAAACUAUGUGUGGUGCUCAAAAAUGGCAUGGAAUAUCUUGUUUAAGCUGUAAAAAUAUAUUAGCAUGUCAUGUUAUCUUCAUAAAUUCUUCUCACACAUAGGGUGGGUGGAGUUCCUAAAUCCCAAGGCACAUUACCAAUUCAGUUGGUCACUGCCAUUCAUCAAUUGUUUUGUCACAUAUUUGCAGCCCCUCAGUUGGGACUGAGGUAUUAUGAUUCUGGAGGGUUUGAUAAUAGGUGAAUUAUUAGCUGUUGGGGACGGAUUUGUUUCUGAGCCUUUCUGUGGCAGUCUCUUAUAUAGGAAGGCAAUCAUUCUCACGGAAUUUGCUCCCUCAGACAUAAAGAGAUUUUGAAUAUGGCUUGUAAUUUUUUUCCUAGUAAAAUUUCAUUAGUGGUUAAUUAUGAUUGGUAGAGCUUACCGGAAGUUCGCCAAGUGUGUUGAGAGUUCAAACAUGUCAAAUUUUGAACUGCGUCAUGAUGGGAUGGACGGCUCUUGGUAUUCUCUGUCACCAUGUUUAUACACACUGUGUAUCAAUCUUCUAUGCAUUAUCGCACGUUGAACUUGUGAUUUUAACCUUGUUGGAAAACAAAAGGGGCUUUUAGAAUUCACUUUUCUCAGUCUGGGCAACGGUACAUUCUGGGUUUUGAGCCUUUGCCUUAUACUGUAUGAUUUGGGGUAAGAAAUAAUUCAAGGGCUAUUUCAACAGCGUCUAACUUUGACGGGAUGCAAGAAGUUAAGUUAAAUGCUUUUUGUAGAUGUUGCAGAUUGGGCCAGAUGAACCCAAAGUGUGGCUAAGUCUGGUCAGUCUCAUCUACAGUUUUCUCAAAGAAGCCAGAUCAGAUCUAAGGCAGAUUAAGCAGAAUCCAUUUCUCUUCCAAAAGGGCCCAUUUGUAAGAACCAGGAAGAAGAUAAAACACAAAGGAAUAUAAUAAACUUCUCAAUACAUCCUUCUGAAAGUUUCAAGUUUCUAUUUUAAAAGGGUGUAUCCUCAUUAAAGGCAGGCACUUUAGCUCAUAGAAUUGUCAUGAGCUCCGAAAUCAGCUUGACUAUUGCAAAAAUUUAUUGGUUUCUUAAAUUUUUUUUUUCCCGUAAGGGUAGGAGAAAAUAACAAACGAAGGAGGCUUCCUCAAAAGUCAAUACAAAACACAGUUAUAUUGAAAUAACUAGGUAAUUAGACACGUGAUUUAAAUUACGCUGAAUCAAAAGUUGUUGCCUGGCAGGUAAUGCCGUCAGGGUUUUGUGCUGUCUUUCCUCUCUGUUUUACCGGAGACUGGAUUGAUCUGAAAACUGCAUCUAUAAGUUCCUCACUGGAGAAUAUAGACAAAGAAAUGAUCCCCUUGGCAGUAGAAGUCCAGUGGUGGCAGAUGCACGUACAGCAAAAAUUCUGGCAUGCUCGAGUAGGUUUAAAAUAGUGCUAAGGAGUUUUUAAUGUGUUUUUUUUUUUUCUGUGUUGGGAUAUAAACAUUUUUCGAUGAGGGAUGUUUCUGUUUCGGCAAAGAAUUACGUGGCUGAAUGAUGCAGAACGGGAGUCAGGCCCUGAAAGAUAUUUGAUUAUGCGCUACAGAGGCCUCAUUAUUGAAAUGAGGUCUGAGUCUUAGACCUUCUCUAUCCAUCCCGCAGUCACGUAAAAUAUUUCCGAUAGGUUACUUUGAGCCCCUUUUGUCAGCCGUAUAGCUCUGGUGCCAUUGUGGAGAACCCUUGGCCUAGGGCGGACUCAGUCCUAGAUUUUCUUUUCUUUCUUUUUUUUUUUUAAUAUGAAAUUUAUUGUCGAAUUGGUUUCCAUACAAUAGAUUUUCCUAUUUAAAGUGCUUGAUAGGGGAUACAAAAUACAUCUAAGUCAUAGAUUCUAUAUUCUAGAGGCUUAACACUCACGUACAGGAGUAGAGAGAGGAAGAAGACCAAUGAGGGCUUUAAGAAUGCUUGUAUUUGGGCAGGCAAGGAACAAGGAGGAUGAUAACCCUGACCUGUAUUGGGGGGUGGGGCAAGCUACAUAGGUGUUGAGGUUGAAAUGUGUCUGGCAUGAGGAAUUAGAUGGCUCUUCUCCCCCUUAACUAUUUUAACUCAGUCACCUACUCAGCACAUGUUUAUUGCACAUCAAUCAUGGUCCAGGGUGCCUUGGUGAGGAACACAGUGCUGAAGACAAGGAGCAUAGCUGCUGCCUUCAUGAAGUUUAAGAUCUGGUGGGCAAUAGGCAUUGAACACGAAAACAAACAAACGCAUAUAACAAGAAACUGUGCCAGGCAAUAGUAAAGAAAAGCAAGAUGCUACAAAAGAGAUUGUGGUUUGGGGAAUACAGGUUGGAAGAAGAGACAUUUAAGGUGAGAUUCGAAGGAUAUACUUUUUUUUUUUUUACUUAAAUUUUUUUUAACGUUUAUUUAUUUUUGAGAGACAGAGAGAGAGCACGAGCAGGAGAUGGGCAGAGAGAGAGGGAGACCCAGAAUCCGAAGCAGGCAUCAGAUCCUGAGCUGUCAGGCUCCAGACAGAACCUGAUGUGGGGCUGGGCCCCGCGCGGGGCUCAAACCCACGAACCGUGAGAUCAGAACUGGAGCCGAAGUCGGACGCUUAACUGACUGAUCCACCCAGACACCCCUCGAAGGAUAUAGUUAUUAAAAUAUAAAGACGCUUCUUAUAUAGGAUGUGCUAAAAUUAGAUAGAAUUUCUACCGAGGGGCUCUUUUAUGUCAUGUGUCUGACAAAUGAGGUAAAGAAAUAUUUAGGACAUGCUCAUUCAAUUGGCAACUGUACCAGGCAGGGGCUCACCAAGAAACAGAUGCUACCUGCAAAAUGGAGAACUUGAGGAGGGUUGAAUAAAUUUAUAAAGCAGCGGUGAUGGUGUACGGAAAGUAUUUCCAGGGCCAUUAAUAACAGAGCUGUCACAAUCCCUAGACCCAAAGGGACAAGCUGGAGGGCGUGGAGACCUGAGUACCAGGAGGAGGGGCAGUAAUGCUUUGAGAUGAACAGUGACCUUGGUUGAGGGACACAGCGGCCCGAGGUGCCCCCGGUGUGAGAAUGCAGGUUUGGGGGGCACGAUACAACCUGAGAUCUCGCUCUCCUUUUCCUUCUGCUCUCCUGGUAAUGGUCCCCUUUGGCUGGACCCAACUAGACAUCAUCAGAUGAUGAAUUUCACACAGGCUGGCCUCCCAGUUAGAGAUCAAGGCCCAGAAGGUAGAACAUGGACUUUGGAGAGAGACAGAAGAUACCUCAUACGGCAAGGCUACAUGAAGCUCUUACCGUAGACACAGCUCAGAGGUGUGAAAGAACGCAGGCCUUGUAAAACGACUUACGAAGAUCUGCUCUGGUUUGAGUUCAUCUGUGGUGGGUGUGGUGUGGUCCAUCGGAAUCCAAACUAUGGCUUCUAGAGACUAUGAUAAUCGCUCUUUCUUCUAAGGUUUUUCCUACUUGGUUUUCAGGCUUCUCUUCUAGUGGCUGUAUUUUUUUUCUGUAGCCUCUGUCAUAAUACCCGAAUCACACUGGGAAGGCACACCACAUGUGAUGGCAAUGCCACGGGAAGUGCAACGGGCCAGAAACCUCUCACGGCUGAGCACCAUGCUACCAGAAUUACUCACGCAGGCACCUACAGCACAUUCCUACAAUGCCACUUCUCCUUGGGACCAUUGCUCUGCUCUUUCCUGGGGUUGUUCUGUCAUCUUCUUUUUCCUCAGCAAGGCUGGGGAUGUGGAAAUGAAGAAAGGCAGAAGUUGAAAUUUGUUGUAAUACUAGCUGACAUCUGAACGCCGGGAUCGCUGUGUAAGAGGAAGGAAUGGAUGUAUUUACCAAAUAGCGCCAAUCCCCCUUUCCGCCUUCGUUUCAAAUUCUGCAGGAAAAAAGACAGCUCUGAAAAUUUACGAGCCAUAACGUGCUCUUCAUUACUUGGUCACAGGGUAAGCAACCAGCACCCAAGCCUAAGGGUCACCUGCAGGUCUGGAAAUCUUUGUAACUUUAUAGGGAGGUUCAUUGGCUCCAGGAGGAGUGAUGAGGUGCUGAGAAGCCACUCAUUCACCAGGGAACUGCUAAGCAGUUUUGUGAUAAAUAAGGAUAUACAUAUGCACAGAGCUCUUUCGUUAGAGCAUUUUCCCCAAACAUGAGAAUCUCAGUUAAUUGUUACAGUGGCCCCCUGAAUGGGGCAGGGCAGGCCUCGCAAACUUCCAUUUCAGAUGAGAAAUUGAGCCUCACGGGCCAUAGGGCCUGCCAGGGUCCUGUGGCUGGGAAAUAGCAGAGGUGCUGGAAACGAAUUCCAAUUUCCAUUUUUUUUUUUUUUUUUAUUUUAAAUCACAACAGUUUCCAAUGGAAGCUUUCAAAGCAGAGACUUGUCUAGCCCUUUUACUGUUUGCAGAAAAUUCGAGGGUGUUGAGAUAAUCGGGAACUUUUCCUUUACCGAGUUUGUUUAUAAAUUUGUCCAAUGAAAAGAGAAGUGUGGCUGGAGGUAAAAUUAGACUCUGUUGGAACUUCUGUUCAAAUACCUCUUUCCUUGUUUUUUUCCUCUUCGGGAUCCUGGUCACAGGACGGGAAGCCUGUUUCUCUCUUUGCUGUCAUACUCGCUCUUAGUAAAACGAGGACUCGUGGCAGCAUUGUGAACAGUGGAGUUCCACGAUCUGACUUCCAGUUUUACAAAGACUCCCCUGGCCACUGUGCUGAGAGCAGACAUUGGGGAAGGGGGAAGCAGGAGAGUCCGGCUAAAAGGCCGGUGCCGUCACUGCGGGAGAGGCGAUGGUGGGGUUUUGGACAAAAGCAGCAGAGGAGGUACUAACAAGUAUUGUGACCCGGAUAGAUUUUGACAGCAGAGCCUACAGGAUUUCCUGACAAUGUAGAUGUGGCUUGUGAAAGAAAGAGAGGAGUCAAGGAUCAAUACAAGUGUUUGGCCCAAGCCACUGAAGGAAGGAGGUGCCAUCAAUGAAGAUGGGGAAGAAUGAGGUUAAGCCUCUGAAGGAAGGUCAACAGGUCAGUUUCGGAAAUGAUGAGCUCGGGGUGCCUGUUACACAUUUGUAUUUUCUUAGUUACUCCUCCCUCCCUCCCUCCCUCCCUUCCUUCCUUCCUUCCUCUCUGUUUCUCUCCCUCUCUCUCUCCCUCCCUCCCCUCCUCUCUCUCUUCCUCUCCCUCUUUUUCUUUCUUUUGCCCUGCCCUUUCCCUGUGUAACAAAUUACCAGAAGUGGAGUGGAUUCAAAUAACACCCACUUAGAGUUCUGUAGGUCAGAAGUCAGGCUGUGCAUGGCUGGAUUCUUGGUUCAGGGUUUCAUAAGGCUACAAUCAAGGUGUCGGGAAGGCUGAAUUCUUGUCUGAAAGCUCUGGGGAAAAAUCCACUUCUAGGUCCAUUUAAGUUGUUGGCAGAACUCGGUUUCUUGUGGUGCUAGGACUCAGGUCCCCGUUCUCCUGCUGUCUGUCAGGUGGGAGCUGCUCUCAGCAACUCGAGGCCACCCUGAGGUCUUUGCUCUAUGGCCUUCUCCUCCCUCAGCAAAGGAAAAUUUCCCUCCUGUUGAAUUCCUCUCAUGCUUCAAUUUUCUCACUUCCUUUUCUGAGACCAGCUGGAGAAAGCUCUCUGCUUUUUUUUUAAAGCUCUCUGCUUUUAUUUAUUUAUUUAUUAUUAUUUUCCACAUUUUCUUACUGGGCUUGACAUUCGCCUCGUGCAAUUUUAUUGAAGUAUAGUUAACAUAAUAUUUUUAAAUAUUUAAGUAAAUGAUUUGACAUUUUGAUAUACUUCUGUAUUGUGUAAAGCUCUCUGCUUUUAUUUAUUUAUUUAUUUAUUUAUUUAUUUAUUUAUUUAUUUUUAAGCUCUCUGCUUUUAAAGGGCUCAUGUGAUUAGGUCAGGCCCACCUGGAUAUCUCCCACCCCCAUCUUUAAAAAAAAAAAUUAUUCACAAUUUGCCUGAACUUUAAGUAUCAAGCAACCUGAAAAGGAGCUAUGUAUAACAAACUAUUACUAGAAAACAUAAGUAACUGUUUAAAAAAGAGUAGAUGAUUAGAUUAAAGUAUAGGUAACAGCAAAUGCUUAACCAUCCUAUAUUAUUUCUGCCUUUUUCUGGAAAUAUUAUUUUAUUUAAUAUAACAUAUAAUAUCAUAUUAGUUUAAGAUAUUCAACAUAAUGAUUUGAUAUUUGUAUACACUGAGAAUGAUUAAGGCAGUAAAUCUGGUUAGUUUUUUGUUUUUAAAUUUAGGAUGAGGAUUUUCAAGAUCUACUCUCUUAGCAACUUUCAAAUAUGUAAUACAAUGUUACUGACUGUAGUCAGCAUGUUGUACAUUAUACCCCCCCCCCCCCCCCCCCCCCCCCCGCCCCCCUCCGCCCUCCCCCCCACCGUGAUUUAUUUAUCUUACAACUGGGAGUCUGUAACUCUUGUUCCCCUUCACCCAUUUCACCCACCUCCUUAUUCUCCUCCCCUCUGGCAACCACCAGUCUGCUGUCUGUUAUCUAUGAGUGCUUGUUUUGUUUUGUUUCUUUUUUUAGAUUCUGCAUAUAAGUGAAAUCAUAUGGUAUUUGUCUUUCCCUGUCUUACUAAUUUCACUCAGCAUAAUACCCUCCAUGUCCAUCCAUGUCAUUGCAAAUGACACGAUUUCAUUCUUUUUUAUGGCCAAGUAGUAUUCCAUUGUACAUAUAUACCACAUGCUGUUUAUCCAUUUACCCAUCAGUGAACAUUUAGGUUGUUUCCAUAUCUUGGUUAUUGUAAAUAAUGAUGCAAUAAACAUAGUGGUGCACCUGUCUUUUCAUAUUGGUGUUUUGUUUUUUUUUCCAGGUAAACACCCAGAAGUGGAAAUGCUGGAUCAUAUGAUUGUUCUAUUUUUAAUUUUUUGAGGAAACUCCGUACUGUUUUCCAUAGUGGUUGCACCAAUUUGCAUUUCCACCAACAGUAAAUGAAGGUUCUCUUUUCUCCACAUUUUGGCCAAUAGUUACUAUUUCUAGUUGUUUUGAUAAUAGCCAUUCUAACAGGUGUAAGGUAAUAAUGUCUCAUUGUGGUUUUGAUUUGCAUUUUCUUGAUUAGUGAUGAUUAGUAAUGUUGAGCAUUUUUUCGUGUGCCUGUUGCUCAUCUGUACAUCUUUGGAAAAAUGUGUAUUCAAAUCCUCUCCCCAUAUUUUAAUUGAAAAAAUAUUUUUUUUUGCUAUAGAGUUGUAGGAGUUCUGUAAUUUAUAUGUAUUUUGGAUAUUAAUCCCCUAUCAGAUAUAUGGUUUGCAAAUAUCUUCUCCCAUUCAGUAGGAUGCCUUUUCACUUUGUAGGUGGUUUCCUUCACUGUGCAAAGCUUUUUAGGGUGAUGUAGUCCCAUGUUUAUUUUUGCUUUUGGAGUCAGGUUCAAAAAAUUAUUUCCAAGAAUAAUGUCGAUGCGUAGGUUUUUUUCCUAGGAGUUUUGUGGUUUCAAGUAUCAUAUUCAAGUCUUUAAGUUAAUUAAACUCAAGUCUUUGUGUUAAUUUUUGUGUAUAGUGUGAGAGAGUGAUCCAGUUUCAUUCUUUUGCAUGUAGCUGACUAGUUUUCCCAUCUUUAUUAAAGAGGCUGUCUUUCCCCUCGUAUAUUCUUGCCUUCUUUGCUGUAAAUUAAUUGACCAUAUAUGGAGAUUUAUUCCUUGGCUUUCUAUUCUGUUCCAUCGAUCUAUGUGUCUGUUUUUGUGCCAAUACUAUACUAUUUUAAUUCCUGUGUUUGUAAUAUUAGUUUGACACCAGGGAGGGUGAUCUCUUAGCUUGUCCUUCUUUCUCAAGAUUUCUUUGGCUAUGUGGGAUAUUUUGUGGUUCCAUAUAAAUGUUAGGAUUAUUUGUUCUAUUUCUGUGAAGAAUGCCUUUGGAAUUUUGAUAGGGAUUUCACUGAAUCUGUAGAUUGCUUUGUACAUUUUAACAAUCUUCAUUCUUCCAAUCCAUGAGCAUGGAAUACCUUACCAUUUAUUUGUGUUGUCUUCAACUGCUUUCAUCAGUGUCUUAUUGUUUUCAGUAUGUAGGUUUUUUCACCUCGUUGGUUAAAUUUAUUCUUAGGUAUUUUAUUCCUUUGAUGUAAUUGUAAAAGGGAUUGCUUUUAAAAUUUCUCUUAAUUUUAUCACCCCCACCUUGCCUUUUAAAAUUUAACUGUGCCAUGUAACAUAACAUCACCACAGGAGGCAGAUUCAUCAUGUUUACAGUCCCAGGGAUUUUUCAGGGCAUGUAUACCAGGGGCCAGGAAUCUUGAGGGACAACCUUAGAACUCUGCCUAUCAUAAUAUCCAAGAGAAAAUGUUGAAUAGAAGUUUGGAUAGUCACAUUUAGAGUUCAGGAGAGAAACUUUGGGAGUCAUUGUGGUACAGAUAGUACUUAAAGCUGUGAGGCUGAGCUCACUACAAGUGACUCUAGAUAUUGAAGAGAAGAGGCUCAAAGACUGGGCUCUGGGCAAUGUUCAUCUUAAACGAUCUGGCAAAAGAGAAGAAACUAUGAAAAGGAAACUGAGAAGCGGUGAUCAGCCAGGUGGCAAGAAAUCCAAGAACGUGGUAUUCCGGAAGAUGAGUUUUAAAAAAGGAUAUCAAAUACCAAUAUCAAUUGAAUCAAUUGUAUCAAAUGCUGCUGCUCGAUCAAGUAACAUGAACAAAAAGAAUUGAUCUUUAGAUUUAGCAACAUGGAGGUCUUCAGUGACUUUGAUGAGAAUGUUUUUUUAUAGAGAGGAGAGACAGCAAGUCCGUCAAAAGUGACAUAAGACAGAAUGUGAGGAGACGAAUUUGAAAUAGUCACUCUAGACUAUGCUUUGAGAUUUGCCUUAAGGGGAGUUGUGAAAUGAUGGUAGCUUGUGCAAAGAAAAGUGGAGUCAAAGAUGGGAAUAAAAGUGUGGUUAAAGAUGGGAUAAACAACAGCAUGUUUGUAUGUUGAAGGAAAUGGUUAGUUUGAAAAGAAAAACAUUAAUAAUGCGGCAUAGAGAGGUGAGAAAUGCCGGUGUGGCCUUGAAUAGGCAGAAGACUGAAAAUCAAAUACAUAAAUGGAUGGGUCAGCUUUAGAUAAGAGCAUAGAAUGUCCUUCUAUAGUAAUUAAAAAUGAUGAUUAAUCUCAUUUUGUGUCCUUUUGCACAAAUAAAAAAAUCAAAUGUAUUUAUAAUUACCAUGUGUUUAGCACUUCACAAUUUAUGAAAUAUUUUCACACCCGUACUUUGUCUCAAUACACAUUUGAAAUAUCUUAUUUGAUUCUCACAGUGAUUCUGGGAGGUGGAACUUUUACCCUCAUUUUCCAGUAAGGACAGGUAUCGAGGAAGAUUAAAUAAAUGUCACAUUGCUCAUGGGUAGUAUUAUUAGAAUUUGGAGCGUCAGCCUAAACUUCACGUGUAGCAAUGUUUUCCAAAUUGUUGAGUUGAAAUCCUGAGUCUACACUCAGUCACUGUAUUUGGAUGUUGUUAGAUGUGUCUUACUAUCAUUUUGUACAUUGCCUUUAUCUUUCAAGCAAAUUCAGUGAAUUCUUUUAACAUUCGUCUGUAUAAUAUCUGCUUAUAUGUUUGAAAAUGAAAAGAAACUGAUUGAUGUAAUUGGAAUUUAGCUGUUCAGAUAGUGAAAGAAUAUAGUUUUUAGUUCUGACUCAAUCCUUAGCCAUUAUUGGUUCCACUCUCUUACUAUCUACUAAGAUCAGGGAAUACAGGUAGCCUCAAAAAUGCAGACACUCUUUCCCAUGCCACAUGCUUGACAACAGACUGACUGGAAAACAGUUAACAUGCAUGGUGAUGUAAAUUAAAAGUUUCUCUCCAGGAAAAUGAGGGUAGAGGGACCUUAAGAUGACCAUUUCAUUCAGAAAGGUCUCCUCACAAAUACCUUUCAUAUGCCCCACGUGUUCUUUUAUAAUGUCAAAUGAAGGCAGACCCAUUGGAUUUCUAUUUAAUAUAGUUUAUUUCACUUUUCUACCUUCAACAUAUUCACUGGAAAGAGGAAGAAGGAAAUUGGAAACAGGUAUUCUUUACUAUUUUUUGAAUGAGGGCAUUAUUUUACUAACUUAUUCUUGCAGUUCAAUAAGACACCAAUUUUUCAGCUGUUUUAAUUUUUUGUUUUGUUUAAAGUUUUUUUUUAAAGUUUAUUAAUAUUUGAAAGAGAGAGAGAGAGAGAGACAACAGGGGAGGAGCAGAGAGAUAGGGAGACAGAAUCAUAAGCAGGCUCCAGGCUCCGAGAUGUCCGCACAGAGCCCGAUGCGGGGCUCGAACUCACAAGCCAUGAGAUCUUGACCCGAGCUGAAGCUGGACGCUUAACCGCCUGAGCCACCCAGGUGCCCCGAAUUUUUCAGUUUUUUAAGAAAUAUGGUGCACUUCAAACCUAUUUCUUUUGAGUUUUUUUUUUUUUUUUUUUUUUUUUUUGAACCAGUGGAGAGUCAUAUACCUCGGUUGCAGCGGUAUCUCUGCUCAGAAUUUGACUCACUCCCCUGGGACGCAGUGGUGCAUUCUACUAACAGGAUGUUGGCUUUGACUUGGCGACUAAUGUCAAAUAGCAUCAGAAGUUCAAUAUGAGGAUAUAGCAAUGAAGCAUGAAUUCUUACAAAUUAUAUACUGUCCUGAUCCUUCACUAAGGUGUAACCUAUUGAAAUUUUGGAGCCCACGCUAAUUUUUUCAGGACAUGGAGGUAUCAUACUUUGAUAAGCAGCUUUACCACAUUGAGUUACAAGCAACUGAGCUUUACCACAUUGAGUUACAAGUACCUUUUAAGCUACUUAUUAGUCAACUACAGGCUAAGACAGUGAGCACGUCGGAGAUAAUGAGUAUUUCUAAAAAUAUCUUCAGUAACUUAUUUCGUAAUCAUAAAAAGCAUGAGGUUUAUGGAUAUGGCCAUGUGAAGAUAUUGCAGUACCCUUCCCAUAUCUUCAAUAUAUUAAAAACCUUUCUUCUACAAGCAUUUUAGUUUUCUAAAUAGGCAGAAUUUACUAAUACUGAUACUAAAUUACUUCUACUUAAAUUACUUUAGGCAAAAAUAAUUGGGCAUAUUAGCACAUGAAGAAAGAUCUGGGUGAUUAUAAUUAACUUCUCAUUUUUAUUUCCUAAUUCUAAACUUCAUAUCAUGAGAAUAUCAACAUUGCCCAAGAGAUACAAUCUGUUAUAUUAUGUACAGUUGACUCUUGAACAGCACAAGGGUUAGGGGCACCUCCCCCCUUACUCCCCCCCUCCCCACAGUUGAAAAUCUGCAUAUAACUUUGGACUCCCUCAGAACUUAACCCCUAAUAGCCUACGGUUGGUUGGAAGCCUUACCAAUGUCAACACAGUUGACUAACCCAUAUUUUGUAUAUGAAUUAUAUACUGUAUUCUUACAAUAAAGUAAGCUAAAGAAAAUGUUAUUAAGAAAAUUAAAGGAAGAGAAAAUACAUUUACAGUAUUGUAUUAUUUAAAAAAAAUCUGUGUGUAGGAGGCGCCUGGGUGGUUCAGUCGGUUAAGCGUCCGACUUCGGCUCGGGUCAUGAUCUCACAGUCCGUGAGUUCAAGCCCCGCAUCAGGCUCUGUGCUGACAGCUCAGAGCCUGGAGCCUGCUUCCGAUUCUGUGUCUCCCUCUGUCUCUGCCCUCUCCCCUGCUCAUGCUCUGUCUCUCUGUGUCUCAAAAAUAAAUAAAAACAUUAAAAAUAAAAUCUGUGUGUAAUUGCACUUAUGCAGUUCAAACCCUUAUUGUUCAAGUGUCAACUGUACUUCCAACAGAAAACUUUUACUUGAAAAAAUAUUAAGAAAAUACAGUUCCCAAAACCAAAAGCCCAAACCCAAAACCAAAACAAAAAAAGAAAAUACAAUUCCAUCACGACUGGCUUUUUUUCUUCCUACUUGUGAUAUUCUCCUCCCCAACAACUCCUCUUUAUCUAUCCAAAUUUGAUAAGUCCUUUAAGAUUUAUCUCAAAUGGUUACCCAGUGAAUUCUGACUUGAGAAUUCCGGCCUUUAUCAGACUCUGCUUAGCUAUAUCAUUGAUUGAGACACAAUUACUGUAGAACUGAUUGCAUACAGCUUAGUGCAGUAUUAUGUAUCAUUUAAAAAUUUUUAGUGCAGCAAUUAUUCUGUCUCCAGUAAGUUUCUAAGACGUCUGAAGACACGUGGGUCACGCCUUUUGUUGCAGGUGCAAUAUUUUUUGAUUGAACAAAACAUUUUAUUCAUUGAUUCAGCCAUCACUUAUCCAGUGCUCACGAUGAGCCGGGGACUUUGCUAAGUACCGGCACACCAAGGAUUCAUUUGCUAUUUAUCAAUUCAACACAUUUUUGAGUGCCUAAUAUUUGCCAAGUUCUUGAGAUACAGGUGUAAAGUAAAUUAAAUCUCUAAUUUUUUGUAACUCCCAUCUUAGUAGGGGGGGACAAAAAAAUAAAGAAAUAAGUGACUUCUAUAUAUUAUGAAGUAGUGAUAAGGGCUAUGAAGAUAAUGAGACGAGAUAAAGUGAUACGGAGUGAUAGAGUGUGAGAGUGGGGAUAUUUGAACAAAGAUGGCGAGGAACGGUCUGAGAGACAGCAUUUGAGUGAAGUGAGGGGGUGAGCUAAGCAAAUUUCUGACAGGAGACAGUUCUUUGCAAAGGGAAGAGCAAGUUCAAAUGUCCAAGAUGGAGAUACUCUUGGCAUGUCCUGGCACAGCGAGGAGGUAAACUGGCUGGAAGGCCCUGAAUGACAGGGAGGGUUCCCCGAAGGUGAAGUCAGAGAGGAGGCAGGGCCAGAUCAUAAAGGGCUCUAGAGGAUUUGAUUCUACAUGGGGUGAGAAGAUGUCGGAGGUUUUAAGUAGGGAAUUGAUAUGGUCUGAUUCAUGAUGAAUGACACAAUUGAAAAAGAUCUUGGAACUUCUCUAAAGAAACUUAAAAUCUCUUAUUCAAAGUUCUACUGUACAAACAUUCAUAGACAUUCUUAUUAGACUACGAAAUUAAAAAAAAUAAGUUUACUAACAAGUAAAAUAUUCCCCCUAUGUGUAUGGUCUAUACGGAGUGUGUAUAUGUGUGUGUGUCUACGAAUAUGUAAUUGUGGGGAGGGCCAAAUAGCAAAUUUAAGAGGAAAAUAUAACCUCAAAUUAUAAAAAUGAGGAAUGUAGCAUUUUUAUUUUUUUUUUUUUAAUUUUUUUUUUUCAAUGUUUAUUUAUUUUUGGGACAGAGAGAGACAGAGCAUGAACGGGGGAGGGGCAGAGAGAGAGAGGGAGACACAGAAUCGGAAGCAGGCUCCAGGCUCUGAGCCAUCAGCCCAGAGCCCGACGCGGGGCUCGAACUCACAGACCGCGAGAUCGUGACCUGGCUGAAGACGGACGCUUAACCGACUGCGCCACCCAGGCGCCCCGGAAUGUAGCAUUUUUAAACUGAAAACUCAAAUCCAAGAAAUGUGGGUUCUUCAUGUGAGAAACGAACACUGCGUGGCUGUUUUUUUUUUUUUUUUUUUACUUCCAUAUUUUUGUAUCUCAAAAUAUCAAGAUACAACUUAAUUUGUUUAAGAGAGCGAGUCAGCACAUGCACACAAAUGGGGAAAAGGCAGAGGGUGUGGGAGAGAGAUAAUCUCAAGCAGCCUCCAUGCCCAACACAGAGCCCGACGCAAGGAUCAGUCUCAGGACUGUGAGAUCAUGACCUGAGGUGAAAUCAAGAGUCAGACGCUUAACCAACUGUGCCACUCAGGCACCCCUGACUGAAAUAUUUUAUGCAAGAAUAUAAAUAACUGUUAUUUGAAUUGUAGGUCCCAAAGAAUAUUUGGUCAAUAUUUAUAGCAUAUGUUUGCUUCAAAUAAGGGCGCAGGGAUUGAUUGUCAAGUGGAUCUGAAGAACUGUGAAAUCGAAACAUUAUUAUAUGACCCUACUGUAUUAAAUAAUCAAAGGUCCUUUUUUUUCUGUUCAUAGAUCAGCUCUUAGCACUGUAAUUAAGGGAUCUGGUUUGUAAUGUUCAUUUUGGUGUUGAAGCAACGGGUGACUUAGAGCAAGAUACAAUAAUGACGGUUAACAGCUAAUGCUACUUGAGUGCUCAUUCUGUGUGAAGCACUCUGAACUACGCACUUGAUGUUGGUGUUUUCUUGCCAGAGUUCUGAACCAAAUGAGAGACAGAACAACCGGUCAGAUGGAGAACCAAAUAUCACCUUUAAAUGAAGCUAUUAUCAGACAGCCUGGCAACAAACGACAGGCUCCCAAAUGCUGAGCCCUGGGAUACGAUAGAUUUCUACAUUCAGUCUUGGGCUUUGCUGGUUGACUGAUAGGUUUUCCACUGAAGGGCAUCCUAAGGGCAUCCCGUAUUGAAGAGAACAAAAGUUGAGUCUUCUGUGGGUAGCUAAUCCCAGGAUAAAGGGAGGGCAAGGAUCUGGGCUCCCCCAUUCUACCCCUUCUUCCAAGGUCAUACUAAGGGGUACUUAAGGAAAUUCCCUCUUCACUGAAGUUAUGGGCAUGGAGAAGAACUGUUUUUCCUGGUAAUGAAUCUAUUAGCUCAUGUAAAUUCUUACAUAAACCCUAUAUAACAGAUAUUAUUGUCAAAAUUUUGCAGACACAGAAAUGAAGGCACAGAAAAGUGAAGUGAGUUGGCAACGUCCCACCACAAGGCUGUGGUGGAGACAUCCUUGAACCCAGGCAGUCUGGCCCCAGAAUUCACAUCCUCACCCACAUGCACUCCUGCUUCUCUAAUCUUUUUGAGCUGAACUUUCUUAUCUGAAAAAUGACGGGGUUAGGCUAGAAAAAUCUCUAAAAAUUCCUGUCGACUUGAAAAUGCUUUAAUCUGUCUUUGGGUUCAUUGUAGAAAAAUCUGGGUGUGUGAAAUCUUUGAAACUCCCCAGGCAAGGGAUAACAUGGAACAAUAUUACAUACAACUUAAAACGUUAUUUUGAUGAAAAGCCACAGUAGGUAAUUGUAACCCAAUUCUCUUUUCAAUGUGGAAAACUCAGCAGUUUAAAAAGGAACAGACGGAUGGAAUUUUGCUAACACGUCCAAGAAGGAAAUAUGAUUUCACAUGCAUAUUAUAUGCAAGUUUAUGAAUGCAGUCAUAGUGUCUGGAACCUAGGUAGGAAACUAUGAUGAAAAUCAGUGAAGUAAAAUAUCAAAAUAAAACACUGCAUGACAACUCCUAAUGGGUAGCAAUGCUGGCGCCUUUCAUAAAACCUCUUGGGAGUAUUAACGUGAGACAUAAGUGGCUGAACGGGUCUGAAUUUCCCUGGUGAUAGUCAUAUAUCAAAAUGAACGUUAGCUGGCAACAAUUCAGGAAGCGACAUGCCUCGCAUGCCACUGUCGAGAUGCCAAAGUUGUGAUUACGGACGGCAAAUUGUGACAUUUUACCGUGGGUCAAAAUCAAGUAGACGACCUGGUGUAUAAUUCCCUAAGAACUUGUUUGGGGCAAAGACUGAUGAUUAUAAUCUCAAUUAAGGACAGAAUGUGUGAUUUCAGUAACAAAAUCACCUUUGUAUAUUUGAAAGGACAGAGGAAUUAUCAGCGUGUUUUCAACGAAACUGCUUGCAGGGUCUUUUGGGCAGUAGACAGCUUACUCCACGUUUAAAUACACCCCGGGAGUUUUGGAAUAGUGUUCUUAAUGGAAGAGUUUUAGAAAUCACCUUAAAGUAAUAAGCUCUUAAAAAUGGCUUCCGGCCAACAUAAAUUCUCAUCAUGCAAUUAAUAUUCAAAUAACUUCAGUUUUUCUGUCAAAUUAAUUCAGUGGUUGGCAAGUGUCAAGUACCUUUAUUUAAGGUAAUACAUUUGAAUUCUAGCUGGUGAGCUUUCUUCUCCUUCUCCAUCAAAAAAAAUUAAAAAAAUUUUUUUUUUUAACGUUUAUUUAUUUUUGAGACAGAGAGAGACAGAGCAUGAACAGGGGAGGGGCAGAGAGAGAGGGAGACACAGAAUCAGAAGCAGGCUCCAGGCUCUGAGCAGUCAGCACAGAGCCCGACGCGGGGCUCGAACUCAUAGACUGCGAGAUCGUGACUUGAGCCGAAGUCAGACACUUAACCGACCGAGCCACCCAGGCGCCCCACAAAAAAAUUUUUUUAAUGGCAUUGCCGUUACUAAUUAAAAAAUAUAUCUUUGACAAGUGUGACUUUUUAAAGAAAAAUGUUUAUUUAUUUUGAGAGAGAGACAUAGAGAGUCAGUGGGGGAGGAGCAGAGAGGGACGGAGAGAGAAUCCCAAGCAGACUCCACAGCUGUCAGCUCAGAGCCAAGCACGGGCCUCGAACCCACAAACCAGGAAAUCAUGACCUAGGCUGAAACCAAGAGUCAGACGCUUAACUGACUAGCUACCCAGGUGCCCCAGUAAGUAUGAGUUUUGAAAACAGAUCAUUUUCUUUUUUCAGGGGUUGCCUGGGUAUCAUGUGUAACUAUAGUUCUAAUUCUCAGCUUGCACCUGUCGUUAUUUUUAGUAGCAUUAUUUUCUAGAUGACAUCUCAGAGGUUCCUUCCGAAGAAUUAUUGUUAUUUUGGGUUAAAAAGAGAUUUCCUUUGCCUGCUGGAACUUCGUGUGUAUUUGCUCUUUUCAAAGUGUGUGUGUGUGUGUUUUGAAAUUUCUUAAAAAUUUAUGGCACAAAGGGGAUGUUAUGAUUCUUGAUUUUCGUAGAGCCUAAGCGUAAGAAUGAUUUCUUAAUGACAUAAUUUGUGUCCAUUAUAAAUUGCUUCCAUAAUAUGUUUAUUUUAUUGACUAACAUUGCAGGGUAGAGGACAUGAAUUAGUAAGGAACAGAGCUGGACUGCUAAAAAAGUAAACGACAAACGUCAAGUACUCUGGAGCAAAGUCGUUUAAUGAAACAAAGAGAAAAAGCACCAGAAUUUUUGUUUUCUGUAUUGCAAUGCCACAAAAUCUAAUAAAGUUUUUAAACAUGCAGCAGAAAGUAAACUAAAAUUAUAUUAUCUGACUUCUAAUAAGUUACAUUGGUAAUUUGUUACAAACAAAUGAAUAACAGGUAGUAAAUAUAGGUUGACAUGUAUUUUAAAAGCUCUAAUAAUACCCAGGGUGUAAUGACUAUGGAGAUGCCAGGAAAGGGGACGUCUGUCUGAAUAGUGCGAUUUCAUUUGCUGCUUAUUUUGAGAACAGUCACUUGGACCUCUUGUGAAAUAUUCUCUUAUGAUUUCUCCACCUAUAAAUAGCUUGCUUUUGGGCCUGUUGGCUUCUAAUCAGUGAAUAAUGAUUACUGACUGGGCCCCCGUUAUCAACAGCAACAACAGCAGCAUUUAUGGAGCAUUUAGUCCUCAUAACAACCCAGUGAAGUAAGGAUUAUAAUUACCUUCAUUUUGCUCGUAAGCAAACCAACACUCAGAGAAUUGAGGUCAUUGCCAGAGACAAACAAUGCAAAUAUAACUGAUAUUUAUUGUGCUCCUUCUGUGUCCUAGGCACUACGCUUGUCUUGAGGACUAAACAGAAUAGAAGGCAGCCUGUGUUCUCAAUUCCUGUAGAGUGUUCUGGGGGAACAGAUGAAUUUCCAGACAACUACAACAGAGAGAGCUAAGAGCUAAUAUAUGAAGUACUGUGUUGGGGUGCUAUGAGAUACAGAACACAUUCUCAGGGUGUGAGGGCAGACUUGUGUAGGCAGACAGUAGCAGAGCAGGGUAAAAGCAUCCUCUUUCUUGUGUGUACCUGGUGACCGAACAUAGAUCAUGUUCACUUUUAUUCUUUUAUUUUUAAAAAAAUUUUUAGUGCUUAUUUAUUUUUGAGGGGGGGGUAGAGAGAGAGAACAAGUGGGGGAAGGAAGGGCAGAGAGAGAGACACACACACAGAAUCCGAAGCAGGCUCCAGGCUCCCAGCUGUCAGCACAGAGCCCAAUGUGGGGCUUGAACUCACGGACUGUGAGAUCAUGACCUGAGCUGAAGCUGGACGCUUAACGGACUGAGCCACUCACGCACCCCCGUCUUUAUUCUUUUAGAUCUACAAGGCUUUAGUUCUUUGCAGUCAUAUUAUAGCUUACCACAAUACCACAUUGGAAACUACUCUCUCGCAUAUGUAAUGCCAGAAUAGACCUUACAUUUAUUUUCGGGGCUGCGUGGAGGAGACUACUCAUCUACUUUGCCAAAGAAAAUACAUACUUGAGAAAAACACCGAAUAAUGUCCUAGACACAUGGAAUUUACAGCUGAUUGUUUAGAAGAUCCGGUUACUAUUUAUAAACUCUCAAUUUUAAUAUAAGAUGUUUUAGCCGCUGAAAAGUGUCUUUUUUUUUUUUUUUCAUUUUAGAAGUUCAGGAUUACAUGUACUAGCUACGUGGCACGAUUGCAUGAAUUUCUAGCCUCGGAGAGCCGUCUGUAUAUCUGAGUAGGCUUGAGAAUGAAAUGCAUGACAUACUUGGUCAGUUGGUGAAGCUCUGUGUGGUGGGAGUAGGGCCCGAGGAAAUUGCCAAACACCUCUUUUCUAGGAAGUGUCCCUCUCCUCUAAAUUCGUGUGAUUGCCAUAGAUGUCGCCGUGUUUAUAGAUGUGACUAUUCAUUGGUUUGGGGUGGGAAGAAGAUCCAAGCUGGGCUAAUCAAAUUACCCCACUAUUUUGGCCUCAUUAAUUAGGCUUGGCUAGUCAGAGUCCGUUGUUCCCUUCCCAAAUGGGUUAACUACAAUUCAAUCCUGGCAUUAACUGCCUGGAAUUCGCACCAGACUCCACAGGUUAAGAGCUCAGUCCUCUGCAAAACUGCCCUCACUUUAGAAACCAGAUGCAAGUGGGGUCCCCAGGUCAGCCACACUUCUGAUUGACCUGCUCUGAAUUUGGGGGUUUCUAUGGCUCUUUCAGUUUCCGUAUUUUUUUUAACGUUUAUUUAUUUCUGAGAGACAGAUAGAGAUAGAGAGUGCACGAGUGAGAGAAGGCCAGAAAGGGGAGACAGAAGUUCCGAAGCAGGCUCCGUGCAGUGAGCGUAGAUCCCGAUACGGGGCCCGAACCCACUAACGGCGAGAUCAUGACCUGAGCCUAAGUCAGGAGUUGGAUGCUUAACCGACUGAGCCACCCAGGCACCCCUCAGUUUCAAUAAUUUAAUAGAUCUCACAGAACUGAAGGAAGUGCUAUAUUCACGAUUAUAAUUUUAUUAUAAAGGACACAACUCAGAAAUAGCCAGAUGAAAAAGCUGCACAGGGCAAGGUCUGGGAGGGUUUCAAGCAUAGACCUUCCAUGCUUCUUCCCCACGGAGUCAGGGCAUCUCACUCCCUGGCACAUCUCUAUCUUCACCAACCAGAAAGAGCCUUGGUGUUGAGUUUUUGUUGGGGUUUCAUUAAGAGGCACGAUUGAUGAAAUCUUUGGCCAUGUGAUUAGACUCAGUCUCCAGCACCCAUUUCCUCCCGAGAAGUUCCAAUUGUCUAGUCACAUGCCAAGUCUUUCUGAUGACAGCCAGACAGUGAAGGCUGUCCCAGAAGCCAUCUUUGAUCUUCGGGAGCUCACCUAAAAUCACUCCAUUAACAUAACAAAGACAUUUAUCAUUCAGGAAAUUCCAAUGGUUUUUGAAACUCUGCAAGGAACCAAGGACAAAGCCCAGAUAUAUUCUUUAUUAUAUCACAGGGUUCACGCUUGGAAAUUUUGUUAUUGGAAUUCAAACUCUUUAGAUUCCUGUACUGUGUCAUGUAAAGCUUAGGGCUGUUGGCUGCCAUGUUUCCAACCAGAAAAACAGAAGCCAAUGUGUAGAAAGUAGAAGAGAGAAGAGAGGAAUGGGGCAGAGAGUGAGCCCAUAGAGGUUCGAGUCUCUUUUCCAGCAUUUUCCCAUCCUUGGUUUCUGUGAGGCUUCACAUCAUCUGUAACAAAUAUCCUUUCCCUCUUCUGACUUCAUCCAACUCUAGCUGUUUCUCAAACUCCUAACUGAGGGUCUGCCGGUAGAGUGAGCAAGCGAACACGUGUAUGGGAAUGGAAAUGUGCGUACUGAAAUAACAUUAAGCCACAGGCAGGAUUUAUAUCCAGUUCCUACACAUUGCGCAGAAAGUCAUUUGCUGCUUUGUACAAAUGCUGGUCUUGCUACUCUUCAGAAUGAGUUGAUGGCAGUAUGUGGGGAGUGUCAUCCACCCACUGUCAGGUGUUGCCCUCCACACACAGGCGUCUGGCGGUAAGGACAUCUCUGUAGCAGCUACCACAGAAUUGGAACGAGGGCCUCGACUCCAGGGUUGGCUCUUGCUGACCCAGAAUCCACCUCUGUGUACAGCCGCACACGUUGUGUCCACGGUGGAAGCAACUCUGCUUCCUGCUGGUGGCCUCCUUCAGUAGUCUUGGAUUUUUACAAGCGCCUUGUGGGCCCCCAGAGUUGCGAGUUGGGAAUUUUAAGUGUGGAAAAAUGUUAAAGCUCUUAGGAAUACUAGAUAACACAGAGUUCGACUCUGGGCUUCGCACGUCCGCCUAAAGGGUCCGUGAAACUUAUCACAGCGUGUAGAACAUAGUUGUCUCACCUCCGGGCUUUUGCAUUUGCUGGGGGUGUCUCUGCCUCGAGGUAGUAUACUACGUAUUAUUGCUCAAGUGCAGUCUUCCUAGUGACGUGUCCUGGACCCCCCUGUCAGGAUGGCUCCCACUUAUUCUUUGCCCCUCUAUCCUGCUUGUUUUAUUUCGUAGCUCUUAAUCAGCAUCCGACAUGUUGAACAUUUAUUUGCUCCCUUGUUUGUUGUCCGGCUGCCCCUUUAGAACGUAAACUCUCACGAAAGAGGACUUUUCCCUAUUUUGUUGUUUUAUCCCAGGGCCCAGAAGAGCAGCAGACACAUUGUAGGCACUCAAAGAUUUCUUGAACAACAAGAGAAAUGAAGCAAUGCUUCUGCUGUCCGGCAUCUUCUGAAUACCUUUCCUACAUCCGGGGGAACCUUCCUGCCAUGUGAUUCUUGUCUCUUUAAGAGGGCAGGUCACGUCCUUGAUUUGCCUUGCCUGCAGCUGGGACACCGGUCGGAUGUCCCACACAAUACUGUGAAUUUGAAGUCAGUCACCUUGGGAAGUACGUACCAGGGGGAAUGCGUGCGGGCUAGUGUGGAGAUAACAUGUUGCAGUUACUGUUCUGUCCCUAAAUGUGUAUCUUUCACAUUUUCCUGCACGUGUGUGUGUGUGCGUGCGUGCGUGUGUGUGUGUGUGUAAAGGGAAUGGUGGUGGAUGUUCUAGCGGCCAGAGUUCAGGGCUGGUGGUGUGAGCUGAGUUUCUGUGUCUGGUGGAGUUGGCAGUGGAUUUUUCUGUGGCACGGUCCGUCUGUGUUUGGCGGUUGUACCUGGCUGCAUCGCCCCUGGGUUUUACUCCCUCCCCCUCCCACAGAAUUUGGGAACUGUGCAAGUUCCUUUUGAAAAUAAAUGUCUUCUUUUCUAUUUAAACUAGGGUUUACGUGAGCUCUGUUGUCGGCCACUGGGGAUCCUAACCGAGCCACAGCUGGUUUGAAUCUGACUACCCCAAAGUCUACAGUUUUCAAAAGGAAUGUAGCAGUUUAUAUGCUAGAACAUUCUUUGGGUUAGACCUCAGUGUUCAUCUGGUCAAGUAAUUUUCAAAUUUUUUUUUUUUUUUUUGCAUAGAAUUAUUUCUUCGAGUGACAUUUUACAAGAAAGUGGGCACCCAAUAGGAAAAAAUGUAUGAAUCUGAAGCUGCUCUAGUUGAAGGCUGGUGGAUGUAAGAAUCCUUGGCCCCUCUCCCCUCGCAGUGUCCGAGGCCUCCUGAGUCCUUGAGGCAUCCCGAAACGUGGGAGUUCCCUGACAAUUUAACUACCUCAUUUUCUAGAAGAGGGAAUGGAUAUGCGGGAAAGUGUAAAAGAUACACAUUCAGUGAGAGAACAGUACCUAGAACCUAUUAACGAUACACUAGCCCAGAGUUUUCGUACCACCCCACACCGCACACUCAAAAUAAGAACGAAAAGUAAUCAUUUUCUUUUAACGUUCUCUUCUGGGCACAGUCUGAGUAGCAAAAGCAACAGUCCGUUCAUUUUUAUUUAAAAACACUUUUUAAAAACGUGUUUUCAUUCUUUGAGAGACAGUGAGGGCGUGAGCGGGGGAGGGGCAGAGAGAGAGGGAGACGCAGAAUCCGAAGCAGGCUCCGGGCUCUGAGCUGUCAGCACAGAGCCCGAUGCGGGGCUUGAACUCAUGAACCUUGAGAUUGACCUAAGCUGCUGACGCGGGGCUGGAACCCAUGAACCGUGAGAUCAUGACCCGAGCUGAAGUCGGAGGCUCAACUGACUGAGCCACCCAGGUGCCCCCCCCCCGCCAAAUUCUUUUAAAUUUGAGUGCAGUUGAUACACAGGUUACAUUAGUUUCAGGUGUCCAACAUAGCGAUUGAACUUUUUUUAUGUGUCAUGCUAAGCUUAGCAUAAUUGUAGCUAGCAUCUGUCACCAUACAACACUGUUACAAUAUCAUUGUCCAUAUUCCCUAUGCUGUGCCUUUUAUUGCCAUGACGCAUUCAUUCUAUGACUAGAAGCCUGUAUCUCCCACUCCCCUUCACCCAUUUUGUUCACCUUCUACCCCCCGCCCCUUCCCCUCUGGCAACCAUCAGUUUGUUCUGUAUUUGUAGGUCUGAUUCAGCUUUUCGUGUGUUUGUUCAUUUGUUUUUUUAAAGUCUACAUCUGAUUGAAAUCAUAGGGAAUCUGCCUUUCUCAAUCUGACUCAUUUCAUUUAGCAUAAAACUCUCUAGGUCCAUCCACGUUGUUGCAAAUGGCAUAAUCACAUCCUUUUCUAAGGCUGCAAAUAUUCCGUUGUAUGCAUCUAUAUGACAUCUUCCUUAUCCAUUUGUCCAACAACGUGUGCUUAGAUUGCUUCCAGAUCUUAGCUAUUAUAAAUAUUAUUGCAAUAAACAUAGGGAUGCAUAUAUCUUUUUGAAUUAGUGGUUUUGUUUUCUUUGGUUGUAAGUACCCAGUAGUAGAAUUAUUAGAUCAUAUGGAAUUUCUAUAUUUGAUGUUUUGAGAACCUCCAAAUUGUUUUCCACAGUUGCUGUGCCAAUUUACAUUCCCCAUCAUCAACUUUCUUGAUGUUAGUCGUAGGAGAAUCAUAUAAGUGACAAAAUGGGCUUAGUACAUGGCAUCCAAAAGAGUUUCUGGUGCUCACAGUUCAAGAUACCUUCUGUGAUAGAACCACUGUCCACACCUGUAGGCUAUCACCGUUGGGCACUAUUACAAUGGAAGGUACUGGAUACGUAAAAUUCUCAAUGACCAACGCUUUGUUGUGUUCCACACCUCUAAAUCUCUUCAGAAUUCUACUUCUUCUCUGAAGGCCAUAUAUAUAUAUGUAUAUGUGUGUGUGUGUGUGUGUGUGUGUGUGUGUGUAUUUUUUAAUUAGAUCUGAUAAGGAAUAACAGGAUGAAAUCUUGCUCAGGAGGUGGUCCAAUCCCUCAUGUUAAGACACUAAUGUUUUCUGGAUUAAUAAUUUUGACAUGUAUGACAGAAUAACCCAAGGGACCAUUACAUUGAAACAGUAGUUGUGUGAUAUUUGUGUUGCCUUAGUAACUAUAAAGUGCUACUCUGGGCAUAACUGGCCUUUCUGUUCUUAGUUUACUCAACUAUAAAAUGGCUACUACACUACAAUGUUUUCAUAUUUAUAAGUUUUAAGGCUACGUAAGCAUUCAUUCACUCAUUUUUUUCAACAAUGCAAUUCAAGCCUCUAUCCUUGACCAAAUGUAUUUAAUAUUGAUCUAUACAAAGUACUGAUAUCCUGCCAUGAAAGGUAAAUGUAGUUUGAAAAAUGUAACCUAGGGGUGCCUGGGUGGCUCAGUCGGUUGAGCAUCUGACUUCGGCUCAGGUCAUGAUCUCGCAGUUUGUGAGUUCAGACCCUGCGUUGGGCUCUGUGCUGACAGCUUGGAGCCUGGAGCCUGCUUUUGAUUCUGUGUCUCCCUCUCUCUCUUUGCCCCUCCACCGCUCACUCUCUCUCUGCCUCUCUCAAAAAUAAAUAAACAUAAAAAAAAAAAGAAAAAUGUAACCUAUCCCAGGUCCUGACUUGGACCGUUUUCAAGGUUAAACAGGCUGCUGACCUCUUUCCAUUCAUCUGUGUAAUGCUUGUAGAGAUGAUCACCUUAGACAAGGCCAGAGGGGCCAUUGACCUGGGCGCCCCCCACCUUUAGAAGGCCCUGUAUAGCAUAAAUACUAUUCAGUUCCAAGGAAAUGCAUCUCUACUUUUCUUGCACUUUAUCCAUGAAGCAAAGGCUCUAGUGCCCUAAUUCCAUGAAGACUUGGGGACUGCGUCCCUGUCAAUGUCAGAGACAGACACUGCUUUGAAAUGUGGGAUAAAAAUACUUGAGCAGAGCAAAAAUAAAUCAAUUUGCCAAAUCCCUUCUGUCAAAUAACAUUGACACAAUAUUUUCUUGAACAAAGAAGUAGUGCUGAGUGUCUAUAUUCCUGCUUUUCCUUGUUGUCAAGAAUUGAAUUGGGCUUCCUCAAAUUCAUAUGCUGAAGUCCUAACCCCCAAAAUGUGACAGUAUUUAGAGAUAGGCCCUUGAAGGAGGUAGUUAAGUAUCAGUGACGUCAUAUGGAUGGGCCCUAAUCGAAUAGGAUUAGUGCUCUUGUUAGAAGAGAUACCAAAUGAUCCCUUUCUCUUCGUCUUUCUCUCUCGGCAUGGGCUCAGAGGAAAGGCCACGAGGACUGCAGCAUGAAAGCAGCUGUCUGCAAGCCAGGGAGAGUCCUCAUCAGAAACCAAACCUUGCUGGAUGGUGAUCUGGAACUUCUAGCCUCCAGAAAUGGGAGAAAUACAUUUCUAUUGUUUAAGCCACUCAGCCUAUGUUUUUUUUUUUUUUUUUUUUUUUGUUAUGGCAGCCGAAGCAGAUUGAUGCAUUUGGGUUCUUUUUUUUUUUUUUUUUAAUGUUUAUUUAUUUUUGAGAGAGAGAGAGAGUGGGGGAGGGUCAGAGAGAGAGGGAGACAGAGGAUCCGAAGCAGGCUUUGUGCUGACAGCAGAGAGCCCACUGGGGGGCUCGAACUUACAAACAGUGAGAUCGUGACCUGAGCCGAAGUCGGAUGCUCAACCGACUGAGCCACCCAGGUGCGCCCCCCCCAGAUGCACUUGUGUUCCAAUUCCUGGAUCUGGAGAUAGUUAUAAAUUAGGGAGGUAUGCAAAUAGCUGAACACAGUGUCUGAAUCGCCUUUUACAGUAUCAAAUAAUUCAUAGUACUUAGAAAUAUAUAUACGUCUAGAUGAAACAUGUGAACCGUGACACUCUUUUUUUUCUCCAGUUUUACUGAGGUGUCCCCGAGAAACAAAAUCGUAUAUGUUUAAAGUGUACAAUGUGAUGCUCUGAUAUCUGUAUCCAUUAUGAAUUGGUUACCACAGCCCAGUUAAUUAACACAUCUAUCAUCUCAGUUUGUUUAUUUGUUUAUUUAUUUAUUUGGUGAGGAUGUUUAAGAUUUACUGCCUUAGCAAAUUUUCAAGUACAUAACACAGUAUUAUUAUUAUUAUUAUUAUUAUUUUUUUAAUGUUUAUUUAUUUUUGAGAGAGAGAGAGAGACAGGGUACAAGUCGGGGAGGGGCGCAGAGAGAGGGAGACACAGAACCCGAAGCGUAAUCCGGGCUCCAAGCGCUCCAGACACAGAGCCCCACUCGGGACCUGAACUCGUGAACCGCGAGAUCAUGACCGGAGCCAAAGUGAGAUGCUCCACUGAAUGAGCCACCCACGUACCCCAUAACACAGUAUUAUUAGCUAUAAUCACCAUGCUGUAUAUUGGAGCCUCAGAACUUACUCGUCUUCCAACUGACAUUUUGUUCCCUUGGACCAUCGUCUGCUCGUUUCCCCCAGCACCCUGCCCCUGGCAACCACAUUCCCACUCUCCGUUUCUACGAAUUCUUUUUAUUUUUUGAUUCCACAUAUAAGUGACACCAUAUAGUAUUUGUCUUUCUUAUGAAAUUGAUUCUGUACAUUGGCUGUUAGGUCGACAUUGAAUGUUUCAGCUGUGAAUGGUUUUAUUUUUACAAAAAUUUUUAAUAAGGGGGCACCUGGGUGGCUCAGUCAGUUAAGCCUCUGGCUUCCACUCAAGUGAUGAUCUCACAGUUUGUGAAGUCAAGCCCCACAUCGGGCUCUCUGCUGUCAGCAUAGAGCUCACUUCAGAAUCUCUGUCUUCCUCUCUUUGACCCUUCCCUGCUCUCUCUCUCUCAAAACUAAAUAAACAUUAAAAAAAUUAAUAAGAGGUAAUUACAUUUUCAGGGGUGCUUGGGUGGCUCAGUAGGUAAAGCGUCGGACUUCGGCUCAGGUCAUGAUCUCAGGGCUUAUGGGUUCAAGGCUCAUGGGUUCAAGCCCCACAUCUGGCUCUGUGCUGACAGCUCAGAGCCUGGAGACUGCUUUGGAUUCUGUGUUUCCUUCUCUCUGCCCCUCCCCUGCUCACUCUCUCUCUCCCUCUCUCUCAAAAAUAAAAAAUAAAAAAAUAAAAAUAAAAAAAGAGAUGUAAUUACAUUUUCAGAAAUUAAAUUAAAAUUUCAUUUUUAUGUAUAUCUUCUGGUUUAAAUUUUGGUACUGAUUAUAAUUUUUAUUUUGUCCUUUAAUUGUAAUGUAUUAUUUUGCUUAUUUUAGAGAAGAAAAUAAGAAACAUGAGAAAUAGUUUUCCUUUUGUACCUUUAUUAUUUUUUAUACUUUGGAAACAGUAUUUUAUUUUUUAAUUCUUCAGAUCGGGGUUUAGCAAACGAAGACCUGUGGGUCAAAUCUGGUCUGCCAUUUGUUUUUAUAUAAAGUUUUAUUGGGAUACAUCCAUGCCUAUAUUUAUAUAUGUUGUCUAUGCCCAUAUUUUUGUAUAUUGUCUAUGGCUAUUUUCAUGGUACAACAUCAGAGCUGAGUAAUUGCUACAGAUACAGUAUGACCUGAAAAGCCAAAAAUGAUUACUCUCUGGGCCUUUACAGAUAAAGUUUGCUAACACCUGCUUUAGAUCAUUGAGAACAUGUACAAUUUGAAUCAUGAUAAAAGUAGAAAUUAGAAUAAGGUAAAAACUAAAAAGUAAUAGGAGAGAGAAACUCUUCAAGGUAAUCCUCCAAAUUUAAAUAACCAGAAGCUAGGAAAGUGAGCAGACUCUGUACAGCAUUGCUCACAUAAAAUUUGUAAGCAGGACAUUAUAAAUUAUUUAAAGAAGACACAAUGAAAACGAGCAAGGGACAUUAUCCACAUGAAAUUCACAUUGGAUUUCUGCUAUGACAAAUUCGCAAUAAAUGAAACCAUAGUCACUGAUCAAAACAGCGAAAAUGAAAGACAAAAUUAUUCGCAUCAGGGGCGCUUAGGUGGUUCAGUUGGUUCAGGGUCCAACUCUUGAUCUUGUCUCAAGUCAUGAUGUCACCAUUCCUAACCUGGGGCCCCGUGUCAGGCUCUGAGCUGACAGCACGGAGCCUGCUUGGGAUUCUCUCUCUCCCUCUCCCUCUGCCCCCACUUGCACAUGCACUCUCUCCUUCUCUCUCUCACAAUAACUAUAUAAACUUAAAAAAUUUAUUCACAUCAAAUUCAUGAUUCAGAGACAGAGAAUAGAAUUCUGGCAUGCUUGUCAGAAAUUGAAGAAAAAUACAUUCAUAAAAUCUGAAAACUGGAUAAAAAAGUCAAAACUCUGGCACUUCACUCUGUUUAUUGGAUGAUGAUUCUGGAAAAUGGUUGUCAUAUCCUGACACAAACGAGAAAGUUUCUAGCAGAGCACAAUCUGAUUCAAAUCAGUGAUUACAGUUUUCCAUUGGAUAAAUGUGGCAGAAAAUUUAUGUUUCAUUUUUUAUAGAUUUUACUUUUUAGAGCAGCUUUAGGUUCACAGUGAAACUGAGUGGAAAGUGCAAAGAUUUCCCAUAUCCUCUCUGCCCUCCCGCAUGCGCGGCCUCCCCCAUUAUCAAAAUGUGCUACCCUCCAUCAAUGUGCUACAUUUGUUACAACUGAUGAACCUACGUUGACACAUCGUUAUCGUCCAGAGUCCAUAGUUCACAUCUUGGUUCACUGUUAGUGUUGUACAUUCUAUAGGUUUGGAUAAAUGUAGAACGACACGUGUCCACCGUUAUUGUAUCAUACAGAGAAGUUUCACUGACCUAAAAUUCCUCUAUGUGUCGUAUGUUUCAUUUUAAACCGCAAAUCUUUCAAACCGGGCAAGAAGUUGUUAUAUUCUAAGUUUAAAGACAAAGUGUCUUGUGACCUGCUGUUAUAUAUUUCUCAACCAACGUUCAUAAAGGGUUUGGGUCCAUAAAGAUACUUGUGAUUGGAAACACGUUUGAUUAGGGGGUGUAGCUCAGCGGAAACACGUUUGAUUAAAAGACAAUGAAAUUGUAAAGUGGCAAACAAAUAAAACGUAACCAAGAUUGAAUCCCAACCAAGUGGAAAGUGAUUGAAUACAUUAUGCAUGGAAUAUUAUGCAAUAUGAGCAACUGUUAUUAAAGAAUAGCUAAACUGAAAAAAAAAAGGAGAGCUAAGCUAGAAAAAAAGAACAGGAAAUGCCACAAGCACAUAAAAUUAACAAAUACUAGACAAGUGAACAAAAGGACUAAAUAAAUGACAUAUUUUUCAACAAAGAAGUAAAUGUAGAACAGAAUACAUAUCAUUGGUAUAAUGUUCUUAAAAGGACAUUAAAGAGGAUAUAUCAUGUGUCCAAUUUGCAGCAAAGCGCAAUGAUGCUUUUGCAACAAUAAGUUUUUGUUCAGCUUUAUUGAAGUAUAAUUGAUAAAAUUGUAAGAUAUUUCAAGUGUCUGUUGUGACGAUUUGAUAAACAUUUACAUUGCUAGGGAAUUCCUCCCAUCUAGAUAAUUCACACAACCAUCAACACACAUACGUAUUUUUUGGUGAGAACAAAUAAGUUCUACUGUCUUAGCAAAUUCCAGUGAUAUAAUACAAUGUUAUCAAUGAUAGUCACCGUGUUAUAUAUCAGGUCCUCAGACCUUAUUCAUUUUCCAGCUGGAAGUUUGUACCCUUGUAUCAACCUCUCCCCAAUAUUUCUAUAAACAUGAAAAAUUUUUGGAUUUGGUAGAAAUCAUCUCCAAAUUUGUCAAUAGAAUGGCUAAAUGAAUAAAUAUGAGUACAAAUAAUGAAAAUAAUAAAAGAAAUGUGACUCCCCUCUUGGGUGGAGAAUUCAAAUUAGAUCAUUAAUUUAUUGGAUACAAAAGUGGGAGAAUUUACACAAAAAAGUAAAUAUUACUCAGUAACUGGAUUUCAAAAGUUAUGUUGAGAAGCUCCUCAAAUAAAAAUCAAGUUGUGAUUUUUAGUAGAAAAUGAAUUUAAUUUUGAGUGUCCGUGUUGUUUGCUAUUAAUAAUGUUAGGAAAAAAUAAUGACCACAACCACACACAUACAGAGAUGUGCUUGGCUGCUUCAUUUUUAAAAGGCUUAAAAACUUAAAAAAAGAAAAAAAAAAAAAAGAAAAAAAGCCCUAAACUUUGGAGAAAACCUUGGAGAAAUUGCAAGAAGCUGCAUGUUAAAUAUGCAACAAAAGUGACUUUUCAUUAAAACAGAAGGGAAUUACAACUAGAAAUAGAAAUAUUUCCUGACUCUGCAGAAAAAGAUUCAUGUACAAAAUAUUUCCCCAACUAAUUUCUGUAAAGAAUAUUUUCUAGUCAUUGGAAAGCAAAUUAUGGUUUCAACUGAAGAGAGAUUGGAAUAAAUUGAGUGGCACACUGCUAUUUUCAGUUCUCCUUAUAAUAUUCCAGUACUGACAAUUUUAAAAGGAAUAUCAUAUGGCUGUAGAUACUGUUUUAAAAUACUUUGAAAAUCCGAGAAAAGCGAUAGAGAUUACUAUAAGGUAAUUAAAUUAUUUUGGAAUGUUUUUGUGUUAACAAUUUGUCAUCAGUAUCCCUAUGUUAUGUUCAAACAUGAUUUGUUAAUUUCCUGCUCCAUUUUGAAACAAGUACUGUUGUAAAUUUGUAUUAACAAUGCCAAUGGCCACUGCCUCUGCAGAGCAAUGUUUCUCCAUAUUAAUACGAAUAAAAAACCAUCUAAGGACUACACGGACUCGAGAAAGGUUAUCCGGUUUGGCCGCCGACAGAAGCCACUGUGUGGACACCUCGAUUACACCAAAUAACUAGUGACUCUGCAGAAACAUUAUGAGAUAAACAUGCGUUCAUGUUCGCUUAACAAACAUUUAUGUUUGUGUUAUGUUUGUUACGACUUAGAUGCGUGGUUCUGAAAUGAAUUCUGUUAGUUCUGUGCUUUAUUAUCCACCCAAACCUUGCUGGGCCAUCAACAGCACACCUAGACAGGCACAAUAAGAACUGAAUUGGGUUUUCUUUGAUAUUUUGCCAACUUUCAGUUUUAUGCACAUAUUUCUCAAUUUUAUUAGGAAGGUAUAUUUGUUAAGAGAGGGGGGGAUAGAGCAUAUUAUGUAUUUUAUUUAACAGCCUGUUUGCUUGCUGUAAAACUUGAAUAUUUAGGCAUGUGGUAUGUGGGCCUCCAUUUGUCCCUUGUGUUCAGGGCGAGGGGCCCUCCUACUGGCCUUAUCUUCCCUGUGCGCUGUCACCAGGACCACUGGGUAAGACGCGGUGUGAAAGCAUGUUGACCACAGACAAGUGAUACGCUGGUGUCUCUCAUUUAGCCUUCUCCCUACUCUUGCUGCAUCUCAAACGGAUCUUUCUUCGCGGUUCCCAGGAAGGGGAGAAACUGUUGCACACCCCAACCGCUCAGCAUUUUCCUCCUAAUUUGAAGCUUUUUGCUUUCUUGACUGAAAAAGAUGCUCUAGUUCUGAAUGAACCCACCUAUGCAGGCUGGCUCUGUUGAAAAGCCAGAGAAAUCUGCUUUUGGAUUUGUCCUGCGUGCUUCCAAGAAGGAUAAAUGUCUUACCAUCUAGGAGAAUCAGCAGUCUGUCACGACCCAGACUUAUUAAAUUUAAUGAUUUAUUGUAACUAAGUCUAUGCUAUUAUAUUCAAGCAGUUAUUACAUAUCUUAUACGCCAAAGUUGUUAAAAAUAACAAAGGACUAUUAUCUUGAGUGUGGGAAACAAAAUCAUUUUUUAAAACGUGAUUAAUGCUGUGAGCUUGGCCCUUUUAUGUACAUGUGGUGAGCGGUAUUCCAUGGGAACUUUCUCAGCAUGUGUCCAACGAUGUAAACAAAAAGUUAAAAUACAGCUUACACUCUCCCUGGCAUUCAUUAGCAUAGCCAAGAAAGCAGGAACCAACCACAUUUUACAUAAAAAGACUUUAGAAAUCUGUGUCUAGUUACAUUAGCAUUAUUCAAUCUGUGGGUGCCAACUAGAUGCGUAGAAACGAUUUAUUUAUAGGCCUAUCACCAAAAUGUGUUCUUCAUUAAUUCAUAUUUUUCCCAGCUCACAUUACUUCUUGAACCCAUCCAGGUGGUUUUUAAAUGCUGAGGGUAAUUUAAAACUGAGCAAGUUCACGCACACCCUUUUUUAGUGCCUAAGUAUAAUCGAAUGGAAAUGUCCUUACCGCCCAUUUGAUAUUUUGUCAAUUUGUUUGCCUUUAAUUAACCUCAAGAAUAACACCAACGUGAGCUUGGCUGGACCUUUUGAGUUGAGAUCCACACUGGGAAGGAAAUAAACCUUGAACGCCUUGCCAAAGAUAUUUAGAAAUAUAUUUCUCACAAGAUUAAAGCUGAAAAUCCAAAGUAACUGCAGCUUAUUCCGACAAUACAGUUCAGUGAAACUGUUACAUUGAACAUUUCCUUAUAUAUGACAUUCAUUAAAAUAGAAAAGGCCUCAUCUGAAGGCUUGUAAAGUGACGUUUCCUCCAUAUAAUAUUUUCCUGUAUGUAACGUUCAAAAAGCGUAGUGCCCUGGAAAACAUUACAAAGGACUUUCCUUGUCGAUCUGCGCUUGUUGUUAAAUUUAUUUUGGGCUGUCCUUGUGGUAAGCGUUUCAUAGCUCUCCGCAGAUUCAGUCAAUAUAUAAUAGAAAGAAAGCGCCCGGACUUUGCCUUUCAAUCUCAUGAAGAGCAGGAGAAAGUUUACGUUCCAGGCUGAGGGUCCUUGAGCCCAUAUUUUGGUUCCGAUAAAGUUUCGGUCGCGCCCUUCCAUUUUUUGCCAGGGACUUGUGUCACCUAUGUUGUUGUCAGCAACUGGGAGACCUAGGGUCCCCAAUCUCGUGACCUGAUCAUGAGAAAAUCUUGUUCAUAAAUCAAAGGGACCCUCUCCACUCUGGAAAGCAGAUUUACCUCCAUGUUGUAUUUCCAUGCGGAGUUAUAUAGCCCAAGCCUCCGUUGAAAAAACUGCAACUAAUUUGUGUCCCUACGGUAUAAUUUUUCAAUAUCCAUUAUUCUUCAGCCUCGCAGAUGAUUCCCUUAGUUGACAAAAACAUUUUUCUACAUCACCCUAGGGCUUUGAAGUUUCCAGUAACAGGCUUCAAGUGCGUAGUAUAUAGGUAUAUAUGUACAAUGAAAUUUAUGCAGGGGUAAUCAGCCCUCUGUUGUAUUAUUUUGUGGUUUACUUUAAGCAAAUGUUAAUCCAAAAGUGCCUUCGUAUGCAUUCACUCAUUCAUUUAUUAAAAUAAUUUUUAAUUAAAAUAACUUUUUUUUUUAUCUUAGAAAGAGCACAAGUGAAGGAGAGGGGCAGAGAGAGAGAGAGAGAGAGAGAGAGAGAGAGAGAAUUUCAAGCAGGCUCCACACUCAGUGCAGAGCCUGAUGUGGGACUUGAUCCCACGACCCUGGGAUCAUGAUCUGUGCUGAAAUCAAGAGUCAGACGCUCAACCGACUGAACUGCCCAGGUGCCCUUCAAAAACAUUUUUGAGCGCCUACUGCAUGCUAUGCUAGACUCUAGGUGUAAGAGUAACACUGUCUUCAUCUGCCCGAGUGUUCAGACAAUUAACAGGGGCUUGCGGUAGAAUGUGAAGAGAGUUGGCAGCAACGGAGGUACCAGGUACUGUGGGGACAGACAGCAGGGUGAUCUGAACUACUUUUUGGAGCCCAGGGGAGGCCUCACUGGGUGGGGGGUGGAGAGUGGUGGAGUGUGGGUGGGUAUGGUGGUGGUGUUUAGUCUGACACCUGAAAGAUGUUCAGGAUAGGCUAAAGCAGGGGGUGCAUUGAAGGCUGAGAAGAUACUUGGCAGAGGGAACAGCACUUGCAAAGGCUCAGAGGCCAGGGAGAAUGUGGUGUGUUCAAGGAGCCAAAAGUCUGAGUCUAAGGGUGAGGGGGCAAGGGGUGAACAUGAUGCCAGAUUGCAGGUCUCUCAGCAUGAUUCAGGCAGAGCAGAUGUCAGCUAAGGUAAACCGUCAUAAAAAGUGACAUCUGCUAAGCAAAUUAUGGAAUAGAUUUAAACUUUUUUUUAAUGUUUAUUUAUUUUUGAGAGAGAUAGAGCAUGAAUGGGGGAGGGGCAGAGAGAGAGGGAGACAAAGAAUCCGAAGCAGUCUCCAGGCUCUGAGCUGUCAGCACAGAACCCGAUGCGGGGCUUGAACCCAUGAAGUGCAGGAUCAUACCUGGGCUGAAGUCAGAUGCUCAACCAACUGAGCCACCCAGGCGCCCCGAAGAUGACAUUUUGAUUGGACUGUCUGGCCUGGCCAUUGGAAAGUACAUUUAUGGCAUGAGGUUAAGAAUUUUAUAGUUUAAAGGAAGGAAAGGAAUGGGUAGAAGGAGGGCUUUGUGAAAGCCCAUGCUUUUCAUUUUGUCAAGUCAUUUAUAUUCCAGGAUAAGUGAUUAAGAUGUGUAAAUAAAAGAAUUUAUAAAAGAAUUAUGACCUAAUUAAAAAUAUCGUAUGAUAAAAAUGUAAGGCCCAGAGAAUUUGUGCAUGCAAAAAGUCUGUGUUUUUGUAUUAGCCUGUGGGUUUUACAAGAGGUAGUGAGAAAUCAGGGGUGUAAUAACUGAGGCCUUAGGUUUCCUCUUCUGUAAAAAAUGUAGGCUACUCUGGGGCGCCUGGGUGGCUCAGUCGGUAAAGUGUCUGACUUUGGCUCAGGUCAUGAUCUCACAGUUCGUGAGUUCGAGCCCCGCAUCGGGCUCUGUGCUGACAGCUCAGAGCCUGGAGCCUGCUUCACAGUCUGUGUCUCCCUCUCUCUCUGCUCCUUCCCCGCUCGUGCUGUGUCUCUCUCUGUCUCAAAAAUAAAUAAACAUUAAAAAAAAAUGUAGCCUACUGAUACCUUUCGUGUACCUCUCAAGGUUGUUGGGAGAAUCAGAACAGAUUGUGAGUGGAAGGGCUUCCAAGCUAUCAUGGGUGAAAUAUUAUUAACAAAUUUGUUCAGAAACAGGGUGGGGGAGACAAAAGUUUGCAUUACUGUCUUCUCUGUUCAUGUGUCAGGAGACACUGAGGCUAAGUGGAUGGAGUGUGGACUGUCUGGGAGAUGGGAGACCAUGAAACCCUUGAGAUGUGAUUUCAUUACAGUGUAGAUGGGCAGUUUUCUGCCCACCCCCAUAGUGGGUCCAUGCCUUUAUCCAGGAUUCUCAGUCCUAUGCACCUGUGAAGUGUUAAGGACCACUGUCUGGGAGGAGGUAUUUUCUUUUUUUUUAAAUUUAUUAAAAAUUUUUUUUUAAUGUUUAUUUAUUUAUUUAUUUAUUUAAUUUAUUUUUGAGAGAAAGAGAGACACAGUGUGAGCAGAGAAGGGGCACAGAGAGAGGGCACACACACAGACUCCAAAGCAGACUCCAGGCUCUUAGCUGUCAGCACAGAGCCCGACAUGGGGCUCAAACUCACGAACUGAGAGAUCAUGACCUGAACUGAAGUCAGAGGCUUAAUGGACUGAGCUACCCAGGCCCUCCUGGGAGGAAGUAUUUUCUGCAUCCUUUGCCAAGUGAUCUGAGUAGAAGAAGCAAUUUCACAGACCGUCUUGUUUUAUGGAAAUGUAAUCAAUUUUUAGAGUUUAUGGAGCACGGUUUAAAGAUCAAAGGGAUGUGGCACUUUUAGGAACUCUGAUGGUUCCUCAUCAGACUCUUGUCUAUCAAGCCUGCAUUAAUCGAAGCACGUUAGAGUUGACUUGCAAUUCCAAAUAAUGUGCUGAUUUCAUGGCAUGGCAUGAAAUAUCACAAACAUGAUUUGCAUGGCAUUUUGGGGUAUGCUGUGUGGAAUUUGGGUGUGUCUAUAUGGAUCUUGGUAAAAAAACUACAUCAUUUUCUUUACAGAAUUAGGAUAGAGAAGAUAAAAUACAAAUAAUUAAAAAGUGAGAUAGUAAGUACUGAAUUUAUAAGACCGUUCCAAAGAAAAUAUUUUGAAACAAUUCUAACGAGAAGCUUGCGCUUGCUUUUAUCAGCUUUAACGCCUGAAAUGACUCCGUGAAGUGUUUGAUCAAGACCUAUACAUGAUGAUCUCUUCCAUUUUUUAAUAUUUUUCGUUGAUGAGAGACUGAAUUCAAAAUAUUUUUUGUAAAGGACUUACCAACCAUUCCAAAAUCGUGAGAGUUGAAAGUAUAUUUUAAAAUCUCUAAUAGAUUUUCCUUAUCUUCCACUGAAAAUUUCUUAGGCUAACGUACAUGGAUUUCAAAUCCAAUGGAACAUUUUCAUAUCAAGUAUUCCAAACUAACGAAGCUCUACCUUUGGGAAUAUGCAUACAUUGUCGAAGUAGCCAUCGUCAUGAGGUAGCCAUCGUCAUGAGGUAGCCACCGUCAGGAAGUAGCCAUCGUCAUGAGGUAGCCACCGUCAGGAAAUAGCCAUUGUCAUGAAGUAGGCAUCGUCAUGAGGUAGCCAUCAUCAGAAAGUAGCCAUCGUCAUGAGGUAGCCACCGUCAGGAAAUAGCCAUCGUCAUGAGGUAGCCACUGUCAGGAAAUAGCCAUUGUCAUGAGGUAGCCAUCGUCAAGAAGUAGCCAUCAUCAGGAAGUAGCCAUCGUCAUGAGGUAGCCAUCGUCGGGAAGUAGCCAUUGUCAUGAGGUAGCCAUCGUCGGGAAGUAGCCAUCAUCAUGAGGUAGCCACCGUCGGGAAAUAGCCAUCGUCAUGAGGUAGCCACCGUCAGGAAGUAGCCAUUGUCAUGAGGUAGCCAUCGUCGGGAAGUAGGCAUCGUCAUGAGGUAGCCAUCGUCGGGAAGUGCAGCCAGCAUGGACAACAAUACCUGCACGGUCAAUGUGUUGAGCGCUGUGCAAUGGGCAAAGGAGUUCAACACAUGUGAAGACUCAGAGUCAGGACCUUCCACAUGCUUUUGAGCUUGCCAGGAGUGCCUGCCUCACUGUCCUCGUCUAACUUCUCUCAUCUCCACCUUCUGAUUGCCUCCAGAGUUCUGGGCCUUGUGUCUUUCCACUUGGGAAUGUGGCAUAUGAACUUCUUCAGUAGGUUCCAUGGCCCUUGUUCAGAUGGUUGCCAGUGGUGAAGUGGACCGGCAGAUGGCAGAGGUUCCGAGGAGGAGUAAGAAGUGCUGAAUGAUGCACAUCUCGCUUGCUGCCUCUGGGGACAAGUUGGGAACACAUAAGGCACCAAACUCCGAUUAGGUGGCUGGCCACUAGAGACUGUGGCUUGGGGGCUUUGAACACCCAGUCGGUCCUACCCGUGAGUGCCAGGGAGAUCAAUAUCUUUGUUCAGGGCAAGCUAGUAGGAAAGCUCCAGACCACGGUUUCUGAAACUUUGGUGUGCGUCAGAAUUACCAGAAAGGAUUGUUGACAUACAGAUGAUUGGGCUCAAUGCUUAUUUUCUGAUUCAAUAGGGCUGGGGUGCAGCUCAGGAUUUUGCGUUUCCAGGAAGUGUCUGGGUGAUGUUAAUGUUGCUGGUGGGGAACGAUAGGUUGAGAACUACUGCUUUCAAGCGUGGGGUUUCUGAUUGAAUUUAAUGUAAUUUUCCACUUUUCCUUGAUACAUUUCUAAAGUCAAUGAGAUACUUUUAAAGUAUCUCUGUAUCUUUCAGAAUUUUUAUAGUGUGCAUCUGUGCCAUUCACAGAUGUAAGAUACAUAGUUCAGGGGCGCCUGGGUGGCUCAGUUGGUUAAGCGGCCGACUUCGGCUCAGGUCACGAUCUCGCGGUCCGUGGGUUCGAGCCCCGCGUCGGGCUCUGUGCUGAUGGCUCAGAGCCUGGAGCCUGUUUCAGAUUCUGUGUCUCCCUCUCUCUGACCCUCCCCCGUUCAUGCUCUGUCUCUCUCUGUCUCAAAAAUAAAUAAAUGUUAAAAAAAAAUUUAAAAAAGAUACGUAGUUCAAAAACAUGACAGCAACCCAAAUAAAAUAAUUUCUAAUUUUGCUGAAACACAAAUUUGAAUUUCAUGUUAUACAGCCACUGUGUGUAUAGACUGCAGUCAGCACCUGGUGAGUGAAUCAACGCAAAGGCCAGUGUCAACAAUUCAAACUGUGUUUGUUUGCUACUCAUGGCUCUAGAGCAUUUUAAGUGAAUACUUGCAUGUUCUUAUGCCAGGGUCACAAACCCAAAUGUCUAACUGGUCCAAGGAAGCAAUUGCAAACAAGUGGAAAGAACUGAGGGAGAGUGUGGUGAACUGGUGGGCUUGUGUCCAUCCUAGGACAGACACCUUCUGAUGCCAGGUAGGAAUGUGGGCUGUUUUGCCAUGUUUUCUAAAUUUCAAGAGAAUCAGAAAUCCAGAUUUUUACACGAAAUCCUUUUUUUUUUUUUUUUUUGAUGUCUGCUCUCUGAAGGCCCAACAAAACACAUUUGUGAGUCAAUUCUAAAUUUACUUUUACGGUCAAAUAACACCCCACAACUUGAGCAUUAGAGAAGAUUUUGGAAACAUAGAUUUUGUGAAUAUCAAGUGCUCACCAUUCAAUAUUUUGAAGGAGUUUAAUUUAGUUAAAUAUGUGACUGCCCUUUAACAGCAGUUUUAUUACAAUGAAGGAAAGGAAGUGAAUGUGUUAUGAUGUUUCAUUCUUGGGGUCAGGAGAUGGAGUAGGAAGUUCUUCACAGAAUCGCUAAAACAAACUUUAUAAAGUAGGCAUUCAAUGCCACGAGUACAUAAUCGUGUGCCAAACAGAAAUUACAUUCUCCAUGCUGUGCUUUAUCCUUAUUCACAUUCUUUUACUAGCCUGAAAAUCAUUUUGGGAAAUAACCCUCCAGUUGUUGAAAGUAAAUAUAAUUUUCCUAAAGUGAAACAAUUUGCCAUUAAAAUAUUUUUAUCCAAGGGCCAAAGUUGCCAUAUGACAGCUGAAGUGUUUAUGGUCAACUCCCAAUUAUCUAGAACUGGGCGGUUGGAUUUUCGUAUUAAUUCUCUUUUCCCUUGCAUACCCUUUGACUAUUUUAUUGCUCAUACCACUGCCGUCAUUAGCCUGGCAGAUAGAAUGAUAGGAUGUGGUUUUACAAGCAAUUCUUUUAAGAGUCAAGUUGAGAGGUUCUUGGAAUCUAAACCUUAAUUUGAAGUUAGGGUUUUGGCAUUUUUCACUUAUACAUUUUCCUGCCAAUCCUGCUUUCAUUUAAGUAGCUGAGGAUGACUAGGAUUUGUGUUUCUUCUCUUUCCAAAACUCCCAAGAUUUUUGGUGUUUUGCCUUGAGAGGAACAAAUGCCAAUCUUUUUAUAAGAGAAGCCACUAGAUAAACAGUGGAUCUCAGUGAGAGUUGAGCAAAGGGUCGGUAUAUGGAGGAGCCAGUGGCGUCCUUGAUAAAUCACUUCGCAUCUCUAGGCCUUGGUUUCUUCAUGUAGAGAAUGAAUAAGAUUGGCAAGAUCAGGGAUUUUCCCCAUUGUGUUCUGUCCCAGACUCUCCCUUGGUGUGCCGUUAGUAGAUUCUUCUAUGGAAUGUAAAGGAUAGAGUGGCAACUUCACCAGUCAAAUCUUGCCUAAAUGACACUCUGCCUGUUUUAAACAAGUCCUAGAGUUGAGGGCUCCACUAGGAGUUCUAGGUAGAUAUUAAUCAUAAAAGGGGAGAAAAGUUAAGAAAAGAGUAAAAAAAAAAAAACCCAACCCUGAUGAGCUGGUAUAUUAUCUCUUUGAGUUAACUAUAGCUAAUAGAGCAAACAAAUUAGUAUUUUUUCCCUGUGUAGUCUGGAAUAUCAUGGCAUAGAAUAGUCUCUUUCCAAUAUCAUGUUAUUGUCUUAAAGUGAAGGAGAAUGAUACUGCAUGCUAGGUAAAGACAACAACACAUAGAUUUCCCAGCUCUUCUCUUUAUUACUGAAUAAUUGUAACCUGUCAGGUCAAACACAGUUGAAAAUUAGCCAUAAGCUAUGGGGAUUGUAGUGAUUACUUUGUAAGACAGAGCGUGAGUGGAGUCAGGGCAGAGAGAGAGAGGGAGACACAGAAUUUGAAGCAGGUUCCAGGCUCUGAGCUGUCAGCACAGAGCCUGAUGUGGGGCUUGAACUCAUGAACCAUGAGAUCAUGACCUGAGUUGAACUCGGACGCUUAACCAACUGAGCCACCCAGGCACCCCAGUAGUGAUUACUUUGUAAGCAGAGUUUAAGAACAUAUUACUCAGCUGAAGCCAGGGGAUUGGACCACAUGAUCUUUCAUGACCCCCUUUUAUGCUAAUAGUCAGCACUUAUUUUGUCUAUUGCUGUGAUUGAAUCUUUUGGAAGAAAGUUAAGAGACACAUGAAAUGUAAUGGAAAAUAACACAACCCUCUUAAUAUAGAUCGGUAUAAUUCUAGUAUGGGUUGCAGGGUUAAUGGGAGGGGAGGUGAGAACAAAUUUUUGUUAAGUGUGUGCUACUGUUCUAUGAGCCAGAAAUAUGGGUGAGCAAAAUAAAGAAAUCUCACCUUUAUGGAUUCUAUGGAUUCUACAUUUUACACACACACUCUCUCUCUCUCUCUCUCUCUCUCUCUCUAAAUGCUGCAAAGGUAAAUAAAUCAGAAUAAAGGAGCAGAGAGCGAUGGCUGGGGUCCUGUUUCAGGUUGUUUCUCAGGAGUUGGCAUUAGAGCAAAGACUUAAAUGAAGUAGAGGAAGAAACGUAAGUUUUAGAAGAAUGUGACAGCCAGAAAGCAGGUAGUAUACAAAAACCCUGAUAAAGAGAAUGUGCUUGUUCUUAAGGAGCAGCUAGAAGAUGCAGGGGAUCACAGUGUCAAGGGAGGUGAUGGUCAGAGAUCAAAUUGGAGAGUUAUUUUGGGGCCUUGUGGUAAGCAUGUCAAACAGUUUGCAUUUCAUUCUGAGUGUGUUGGGAAACCUUUGGAAAGUUCAGUAAGGGCCAGUGAUGUCAUUUAGUUUACAUCUAAAGAGGUUUCUCUGCUGCUCUGUGAAGGGUAAAAUUUGGGGAGGGCAAGAGUAGAAACAAGGAAAUUGUCUAGGAGUUGCCAGUCAAUAGCUGAUGACAUCUCCGCUGAAGACAGGGGCACAAGUGGUGAGAGAGGGGUGGUCAGAUUUGUGGCGUAUUUCAAAGGAGAGUCAAAGGGUCUUGCUGAUGGAUGCGAAUGGGGUGUGAGGGAAAGAGAUAUUACCAAGAUGACCCCUUGGUCUUUGGUCUGAUCAAAUGAAUGGAACAAUUUACUGUGAUGGAACAAACUUGAAGAGGAGACAAGACUGAGGAAUCAAGAGUUCUGUACAGUUAGGUAUGAGUUAAGUUUGCCCGUGAGGUAUCCAAGUGAAGAUGUUCAAUAGGCAGUUGGAUAUCAGAGUCUGGUAUUUUGAGGAAAGGCCGAAGCUAGAGAAAAAGUCAGGGCAUCACUAGUGCAGAGAUCAUACUAAAAGCCACCAGCUUAGAUGGCUUCCUGAGAUUGAGUGUAGAAGGAAAACAGAAGAGGCUCUAGGACUGAGUCCUGUGGGGCACUGACAUUUGGAUGUAGAGAGAUCAGGGGGUGUAGCGAGGACACGCGUGGAUGGUCUGGUGGCUUCUACUUUAUCUUGGUUUUGGGUAGCAUGUCUAUAUAAUCCAGAGGAAAAUAGCUGCAGUUUAAUAAGAUUAAAUUCACUGCAGUGAAUUAAAAAUCUCAGAAGUCCUUAACAGAAGGCACUUUUCAAUGAUAUCAAUCAAAUGAUAACCUCAUUAAAAAAACAAAAUAUAAAUGGGCCACUGACCUGGCAUGAUAUGCCAUUCAGUUAUCUUAGCAAUAGAAAGAGUGUGGCAGUAGUCUAAAGAGUUGUGGGAUAUCACCAAGAUAACGAGCUUGAUGAUCAUUAGAAAAUGCUUGGGGCACCUGGGUGGCUCAGUUGGUUAAGUGUCCGAGUCUUGAUUUCAGCUCAGGUCAUGAUCUCAUAGUAAUGAGAUUGAGCCCCGUGCCGGCUUGGGAUUCUCUCUCUCUCUGCCCCUCCCCUGUUCACACAUUCUCUCUCUCAAAAUAAAUAAACAUGAAAAAAUACUAUGUAUGUGAAUAUUCCAAGACUACAGUAUAAAUGCAAGUAAUAAGGCUGUGAUCAACUAUUUCCCUUAUUAGACAGAGGAGUUAAGACCUUGAAUUGUGUUUGGUCCCAAGGUUUAGGAGGUUUCUAAAUUACAAAGCACCUUAAAAGAAAUCCAGUUUAAUAGCAAAAAAGCCAAACAAUCCAAUUAAAAAAUGGGCAGAGGAUCUGAGUAGACAUUUUCCUAAAGAAGAUGCACAGAUGGCCAACAGACUCAUGAAAAGAUGCUCAAUAUCACUCAUCUUUAGGGAAAUGCAAACCCAAAACCACAAUGAGAUAUCACUUCAUACCUGUGAAAUGGCUACUAUCAAAAAGACAAGAAAUGACAAGUGUUGGCAAGAAUGUGGAGAAAAGGGAGCCCUUUUGUACUGUUGGCAGCAAUGUGCACUGGUGCAGCCACUAUGGAAAACAGUAUGGAGGUUCCUCAGAAUUAAAAAUAGAAUUACCCUACGAUCGAGCAGUUUUACUUCUGGGUAUUUAUCUGAAGAAAAUGAAAACACUAACUUGAAAAGAUAGAUACAUCCCCAUUUUCACUGCAGCAUCGUUUACAAGAGCCGAGAUGUGAAAAUGACCUAAGUGUUUGUAUAUAUGGCAAAAUAAUCACCACAGUACGUCUGGUUAACAUCCAUCUCCAUGCUAGUUACAGAAUUUUUUUGGAUGAAUGGACAAAGAAAUGUGCUAUGUGUACGUAAUGAAGUAUUCUUCUGCCAUAAAAAAGAAUGAAAUUUUGUCAUUUGCAACAGCGUGGAUGGACCUUGAGGGUCUUAUGCUAAGUGAGAUAUUUGGAGGAAGACAAAUACCAUGAUGCCAUAUCAUCUCAUAUGUGGACUUUAAGACAAAAACAAAACAAAACAAAACAAAACAAAACAAAACAAAAGCUCGUAGAUACAAAGAACAGAUUGGUGAUUGCCAGAGGCAAGAGGUAGGUGAAAUCGGUGAAUGGGGUCAAAAGGCACAAACUUCCAGUCUUAAUAUAGAUAAGCCAUGGGGCAUAAUGUACAGCUUGGUGAUUGAAGUUAAUAAUUCUGUACUUCAUAUCUGAGAGUUGCUAAGAGAGUAGAUCUUAAAAGUUCUUAUCACAAGAGGAAAAAUUCUGCAACCGUGUAUGGUGAUGGAUGUUAACUACAUUUAUUGUGGUGAUCAUUUUGCAAUACAUAUGCAAAUAUUGAGUCAUGAUGUUGUAUACCUGAACCUAAUAUAUUGUUACGUGUCAAUUAUACCUCAAUUAAAAAAAGUGCAAUCUACUAAAAAAAUAUAUAUAUUCUUUACCCCAGUGGAAACAUGGCAAAGGAUUUAUACCAGCCGGUCAAAGGGAAGUACAUUAGAAUAUAUGUUGACAUUUAGUAGCAAUCAAGUAAAUACCAGUUAAAUGAAAUAUCACUUUUAAUAUUUUGGAGUGGUAAUAUUUUAAAAAGAUGAGUAAAUGUGUACUCACAUUCUUUGUGGGAAUGUAAAUUAGAAGAAUUUUUCUAGACUAAAAUUUCACAAUCUAUCAAAAUCCUUAAAAAAUUCAGAUUCUUUCUUUCUCUUUCUUUCUUUCUUUCUUUCUUUCUUUCUUUCUUUCUUUCUUUCUUUCUUUCUUUCUUUCUUUCUUUCUUUUUUUCUUUCUUUCUUUUUUUCUUCCUCUCUUCCUCCCUCCCUCCCUCUUUCUUUCUUUCUUUCUUUCUUUCUUUCUUUCUUUCUUUCUUUCUUUCUUCCUCUCUUCCUCCCUCCCUCUCUCCCUCUCUUUUUCUUUCUUUCUUUCUUUCUUUCUUUCUUUCUUUCUUUCUUUCUUCUUUCUUUCUUUCUUUCUUUCUUUCUUCCUCUCUCUUCCUCCCUCCCUCUCUCCCUCUCUUUUUCUUUCUUUCUUUCUUUCUUUCUUUCUUUCUUUCUCCCUCUCUUUCUUUUUCUUUCUUUCUUCUUUCUUUCUUUCUAGGUUUCACACCCAGUGUGAAGCCUAAUGUGGGGCCUCAACUCACCACCAUGUGAUCAAGACCUGAGUUGAGAUCAAGAGUCAGACAUAUUCUUUUUGAGAACGAUUCUGCUUCUAGGAAUUUAUCUUAGGGAAAUAUCCUGAGUUAGGUACUAAAAUAUUUAUUGGAGCAAUAUUUGUAAAGGUGAGAAAUUAGAACUAUCUUAAGAAUACAGUGGGGACUAGUUAAACACAUUAUAGUGCAUUUAUAUGAUGUGAUUUCUCUAGAUGUGUUUGAAGAUUUUCAUGACAUGGAUAGAUGUUCAUUGGAUACCAUGGGAAAAAAGCAGAUUAUUGAAUACUGCACACAUUGUGAUAGUAACUAUAUAUGCAUGUACACGCAUAUACACACAUAUGGAUAUAGAAAAACACCUGAAAAGAUUUCUACCAAAACAUUUACAAGAAUUUUCUCUGGGUAGUAAACUGAGGUGAUUAUUAUUAUUAUUAUUUUUAAGUUUAUUCAUUUAUUUUGAGAGGAACAGACAAAGCGCAAGUAGGGGAAUGGAAGAGAGAGAGGGAGACAGAGUCCCAAGCAGUCUUCUUGCUUCCAGAGCAGAGACUGAUCUGGGGCUCGAAGUCACCAAGUGUGAGUUUAUGACCUGAGCCCAAACCAAGAGUCUGAUGCUUAACCAAAUGAGCCACCAAGGCACCUCCAGGUGAUUUUUAAAUUCUCCAAAUAUCAGGGCGCCUGGGUGAUUCAGUCAGUUAAGCAUUGGACUCUGGAUUUCCGCCCAGGUCGUGAUCUCACAGUUUGUGAGUUCAAGCCCUGCGCCUGGUUCUGUGCUGAUAGCAUGGAGCCUGCUUGGGAUUCUCUGUCUCCCUCUCUCUCUGCCCCUCCCUGGCUUAUGCUCACUCCCUCUUUCUUUCAAAAUAAAUAAACAAACUUAAUAAAUAAAUAAAUAAAUACUCCAAAUAUCUUUUACGUUUUCUAAAAUUUCUAUAACAUUCACGUAUUAGUUUUGUAUUUCGAAUUUUAAAAAAUAUACAGAGAUUUAAGAAGGAGAUAACCUUCUUGGAUAUUUUCAUCUUGUUGAUAAUACCGUAUUAUUAUAAAGUUUGUUUUCCUAUUUACUAUUAUUGGCCAUUUGUGGCGUAGAACCAAAUACCUGCUAUAAGGGAAAGAAUUUUGUGACUCACAUGCAACGCGUUCUCUUUUCUUCUUUCGACGUGAAACUACGACAGUGGUCCCACCUGCUGCUUGCUGACAGCUGUCAUUGUGCUAUGUUGUGUUGCAGCCACGCAAUAUGCUAUAAGAAGCAAGUGAAAUAUGGAAAUAACUGGUGGUUAGCAGGGCUGAAUUAGGUAAUUCUGAGUUCUUGGCGUUGUAUCAAAUGCUAGACAGUAAAAGACUAAAUAAAAGACUACAUAUGUUGAGUUAAUUGUUUUCUUUUUGUUAUGAAGAUUUUAAUCUGACGGGGCCUAAAAAUUUCGUAGGCCAGAAAUUUCAAUCCUCUGAACUUUCAACUUUAACCUGGUAGGGAGAGGUGGGAAUUUAGAUGGAGCGAAGGCUCUUCUCUGUAAUUAAUUAAUAGAAACCAUUUGAGGAAGUAAUGUGAAAAAUCUGUAAAAUUCAUUACAGAUAAUGAUGAAGGUGACGAUCUAUACAGAAAAGCUCAAACUUCUAUGACAAAUAUACAUAUCUGUGUAUGUGUGUUUGCUCGAAGUAUUUAAUUGGCUAAAAGUAAUUUUUUUAAGUUUAUAAAUGGCAUAUAUGAGAAAGGGACAUUAAGUAUGCUUCUCAAGACAGGAUAUUUCUGGCGUCAGGAUAAUUGUACACUGACUCAGAAGAAAAUAAUAUGCGUAAGUGGUAAAGUAAUCGAGGCAGUCCCAUAUGUAAUUCAAGCGAAAGGAAACAACUUUUCUCAAAUCACCUCUAACACUUUGGUUUCCUCUGAAUGACCCAGAUAAUUGCCAUGAUACUUCACUUCAUGGAGUAUCUUCUAUGGAGACCUGUGUUUUAGCUUUUGGUUUCUACAUAGAACACAAGGAAGAAAAAAAAAAAAAGCAUAAGCUUCUUCCUUUGUGGAAUUUCCCAGUGAAAUUGAAAAGGGAGUAACCAAAGAGUUGUAGGGUAAACCAAAGACCUAAGUUCUGUCGGAAGUCCUCUGGAAGAGAAUUUAAAUACAUUGAAGACAGGAAAGCUGUUUCCAUCAGUUUUGACAAAAGUAAUCGUAUGAAAGCAUUAUUUCUAUGUAGACUAAAAGCGAAAUGUCUUUACAAGAUUAUAAGUUAGCUUUAACACUCCUCUAUUUUUAGAAAUUGCAUUGCCAGGUUACCUUGAUAUUUUAGAAUUUCCUUCUCAAAUGUAAAAACAGAAUGGGAACCGCACCGAUGGUAUGAUUUCAGUAUGUUUUAAUGACUGAGGCUAAGAGAGACUUACAGACUCUUUAAGCAGAGAGCACACAUUGAUUGCCUAAGUCCUUUGAGAUGGGCUUGGUGGUGUGCACCUAAUAAGGCUUAUUAAGGGUGUCGAGUCUUUUGGGAGACACAUGAGGGUUUUUUGGCUAUUGUGAGAGGGAAAUACUUAAAUUACCCCUCUCUACUCUCUGAUUGUUUACAGUCUCCCCUGGAGAUAUCAGUGUGCUUGAAACACAUAAAUCUCCUUUCAAAGGUAGCUUGAGAGCCUGAAAUGCAGCCAGGGAAUUUUAAAUGGAAAGGAUAGACCAGGUCUACUGGGUCCUUUCAAAUGCAGAUAUUUUAGUUUAAGUUAUAGCACAAUCUAGACCAAAGAGUAAAACCUCUAUGAGAAUUUAGCUAAAGGAAAAUGUAUAGCUGCUGUUGAAAAUAAAACAUUUACAAUCUCCAAAGACUCUUGUUUAUCUGAGGCUACCUCGAGGAUGUACUUUGGGGGGCAGUGAUUUGCAAUUCCACCACAGCCCCCAGGAACAAAUGAGCAAACCAACCAGAUCACAGAUAGAUACCUUAGUUGUUGAUUCACACUGGCUAACUGGAAUUUCUUAAAGCUCCAGCUUGAGGAAAAGUAAAGUUCGUGAGGUUAAUGAGAGACUACCUGCCUGGAUUCAUCCUUUAAAUUCUUGAAUUUGUCAACUAUUUUCAAGCGUUUGUUCAUGUCCCCCUUAUUUCCCUGAUGUAUCAUUUAAUUCACAAAACUGCACAUUUGGCAUUUCUUUAAAUCACAAAUUAUAAUUCUGCACUAAAUCCUGCAACAUGUCAGGCUGAGUUGAGUCCCAUAUAUCUUUUGUUUGGCAGGAACUAUUCUAGUGCUUAAUGAAGGCUGUGUUGGCUGAUCCCUCUGUGCCUUAAUUUGUCUGGCCACAGUAGUAGGUUUUUGUCUUUUCCAGAAAAUGACUCUGUAGCCAGUGUUUUUCAUUUAUAUUGCUUCAUAGCCAUUGCAUGCUUCGUUUUACUUGGAAGCCUACUUUCUUUGGGCUUUCCUUGCCAACAGAUCACUCCCCACUUUCUGACUUUAUCAUCUUUAUUACAACAAUCUGGGGGGGAGCAGUACAUAGCUGCACGCCAUGAUCAAAACACUUCUUUUGACGUUUGGGUUAAUGCCACGACUUUGAUAUCUGAAAAUGAAGCUAAUACUGGAAAGAGCCUUUCACACAAUUGGUACAAAUGUUAUCUUUCCCACCAGUGUUUUACUGGAUGAUACAGUUUAAUUAACAUUUGCACAUUCAUGUCAAAAGCUCUGUCAUUCCUUGCUGUCUAAACCUUUCAUUAGUUGUUACUUCCUGGGAGUCAGUGGCACCCAGCACUGAAGGCAUAGUUGAAGUAGCAAUUAAUUCUGGCUUAUUUUUAGCUAUGAUUGGUAGACUAGAGACUGCGUUGAUGCUUCCAUUUUCAGUUGCUGGCUUAUGUGUUUGGCCGAAGGUAGUUGCCCUUCAAGAGAUAAGGGAGAAGAUGUUAACUGGCUGUCGAAUUUAAGUGAGGAUUGUGAUAUAAAAACAGAAAACUGGUACGGUGAUGAUCUUUUUUUCCCUUUUAACUUUAAAAACACCUUAUCUGAUUUAUUUGGAAUAUAAUUUGAGGUUGAAAAGCUAGAAGAAUUACUAGAGAAAUGCAUGCUUAGGGAAGGGGAAUCUUGAAGAGGGUAUGUGUAAGAAGAAUGUGUGUGAGAACAGGACAGGAUGAUUAGACAACAUUGGGAAAGGGAAUGAAGCACUGAUAGGGGAUAUGUGUUUGCUCACGUUAAAGUUUCUUUCUUGUUGGGGGUACUCUGUUAGCAUAACUUUCCUCGCUUCUCUCAGCCCUCUGAAUUCACUCUGCCGUGAGGGAGUUGGAGUUCCCUCUCGCUGGUGAGGCGGGAAGGAGAAGUUCAGCAUUCCCUCCUUUCUCUUGUGAGUGGGCUUCCCAUAGAGAACCUUUUUCUUUUCAUUUCCAUGUCGUAAAUCUAACAGAGGCACGUCUCCAGGCAGUGCAUGUGUCUAGAAUGGAGAAAUCUUUCUAAUUCUGAGGUUCAAUAUUAUGAAGUUCACUUGUCCAUUUUCUCUAAUUAACACCUUUAUAAGGAAUAAAGGCAAUAUUUUGGCAGCUGUAAGACAAUAGCACCACGGAUGGAGGGGACAAGUAGAAUUAUAUCAGUUAAAGUCACACUAUGCUCGAAGUGAUAAGAUAUUCUUUGAAGCUAGACUAUGAUUGGUUACAUUGCAUGUUGCAAACCCUAGGGUAAUCCCUGAAAAAAGAGAUAUGUAAGUUAAUAGAGGAGAUAAAAUGGAACACAAAAUAUGCUGUCAAAAUCAAAACAGAAAAAAUAACAAAGAAAAAUAGAUGAGAAAAAUAGAAAACAAAUAGAAGGGGCACCUGGAUGACUCAGUCGGUUAAGCAUCCAACUUGGGUCAUGAUCUCACAGUUUGUGAGUUUGAGCCCUGCAUCAGGAUCUCUGCUGUCAGCACAGUCUGCUUCGGAUUCUCUGUCCCCCUCCCCACCCCACCUCUGCCCCUCUCCCCCCUCUCUCAAAAAUAAACACUUAAAAACAUAAAAGAAAACAAACAGCAAGAUAGUAGACUCAAACCCAGCCAUAUCAAUAAAAAAUUAAACAUAAAAUGUCUAAACAUCUUAUUAAAAGGGAGAGGUUGUCAGAAUGGAUUAAAAAAAUCGAGAUCCCAAUGUAUGUUACCUAGAAGAAAAGCACUGUAAGUAUAAGGAUAGAUAAGUUGAGAGUAAAAGAUGUACCCUGCGAAUACUAAUCAAGAGCAAGAUAGAUUGCCUAUUUUAGUAUUGUAUAAAGUAGCCUAUGGGACAAGGGUUACAAGCAGAUAUAAUCAUGAAAGAAUGAAAUCAUCUAGAAAGCAAAGCAAACCUAACAUGUAUGUUCCUAAUAACAGAGUUUUAAGAUACAGGAAGCGAAAACUGGCAGGACUGAAAACAGAAAUAGACAAAUUCAGCAAUUAUAUUUGGAGAUUUCAACACUUCUUGGUAAUUGAAAGGACAAGCAGAGAGGAAAUCACUAAGGAUGUAGAAGACUUGAACGUUACCAUCAACCUACUUGAACUACUUCACAUUUAUAGAAGACUAUACCCAACAAUGACAGAAUACGUGUUCCUUUGGGAUGCACAUAGAAUAUUCAUGAAGUCAGGCAUGUAUUGGGUCAUAAAACAAGUCUCAAUAAACUUUAAAAGACAAAUCAUACAGAGUGCAUGAUCAUUAACAGAAUUAAAUUAGAAAUCAAUUAUAGAAAGAUAUCUGGAAAAUCUAAAAAUAUAUGGAAAUUAAACACUGUAAUUCUACAUAAUCCAGGGCAAAGAGGAAAUCUCAAAGGAAAUCAGGAAAUUUUUUGAAUUGAAUGACAGUGAAAACAUUACAUAUCAAAAUUUGUGGGAUGCAGCUAAAACAGUGCGUAGAAGGAUAUUUAUGGCGAUAAAUCCUAGUAUUGUAAAGAAUAAAACCUUUGUCAGUAAGUUUCCUCUUAAGAAACUAGACAAAGAAGAGAAAAUUAAACCCACAACAUUUUGCAUACAAUUUCAGGUGAUCCUAGAGCCUUUUGAAACCCAUCAUAAAUUUAGAUUAAGAAUCCCUGAUCUUCAAAGAUUAAUCCUAAAUUUGUAUCUCCAUAUCAGACCUCUUUCUUGAGCCCCAGAACGUUAUAUUUAAGUGAUUUCAGGGCAUCUACAAUGAGGUAUUUCACAGUCACCUAAAACUCAAAACUUAUAAGAGGUAGUGCAUUAACUUUUCCUUCCUCCCCUUUUCUUUGCUCCCUCACUCCUCUCUCCCCCAUUUCUCCUCUUCCUUUCUCCUUUUCUAAACCUAAACCAAAGAACAAUGCCACCAUUCACUCAGCUGCAAGAUCCUGGGCAUCUUUCUUCUCCCUCAUUCACACAUCUAAUCAAUUACAGAAUCCUGAUUAUCCUACCUCCCAAAUCCCUCAAAUUCACCCAUUUCUCUGCAUUCCUUUUGCCACUGUCCUAGAAUGGGUCACCAACAUAUCCUAAGUAGAUUAUAUAAUAGCUUCCUCACUUACCUUCAUUGUCUCCCGCAUAGUCUGUCCUCCAACAUUUUCACUUUCAAUAGGCAGUCAGAGUGAUAUUUCAAAAAGAGUGAUGUGAUCUUGUCACACCCCUGUUUAUAACCUUUCUCUAGCUUUGCUGUGUUCUUGGAGUUAAUUCUUGUUCCCUGGCUUAUAUGACUUUUCACGAUGGGGAUCCUGCUUAUCUCAUGGACCUUACUCUCUCCUCAUGUUGUGCUAUCAACUUUCUCUUUCUUCCAGGUCUUCCAGAUGCUAUUCAUUUCAUCUGGAAUAUUUUUCCUAACCCAUUUCCCUUUGCCCUUCUCCCUUAUUCCUACUCAUCCUUUAGACCUAGCUUAGCUGUCGCUUCUCUGUCAGGACUUCCCACAUCUCCUUCUGCUGACUGCUUGUCUUCACCUCCAAAGGAUCCAAUGUCCCUGCUAAGAAUCUCAUUGCAUUUUAUCAUUCUGAAUUGUAAUUUCUGACUUGUGAAUCUCCCUUACCAGGCUGUACUAUAAUGUUUAUCCUGUGGAUAAAAUCAUGGUGCAUUCUUUUUGACAAUCUGUGGUAAUAUAAGAAGCAUUCUGCAAUUCUUAAUCACUUGGGAAAAUCUAUGGCCAAAAUAAUGUAAGUAGAAAGUAGACAUUCAGUAAAUAUUCAUAUAAUUAAUGUACUUUAUCUGUGAUUUCACAUUGUCAUAUGCCAUUAUCAUAACGAAUGCUACUAUAGAUUUUUUUCUCUAUUCCAUUGACAAGGAAAAUAUAAUUAUUUUGUUAAUAAGUGUUGGUACUGUGUUGGAUAGGUUAUGAAGACAAAUUAGAUGGUACAGUUUUCUCUCAAUUUUCUGUGUAUCUUAUUAUAUUUUCUCCUCACUGAGGAGAAUUCUGAGCACAGAGUUACGGAUAUUAGGUUGAAAAUGUAGGCUCUCAAGACCUCAGCCUCCGAACUAAAUGUAAAAUUGAUGGGCUUUGACUACGCUAAGUCAUUUUACUUGGCUUUCAUUUAUAAGUUCAUAAUUGUAAUUACCCAUUCUCUCCUGCUCCUCUGCUAUGAACAUUCAAGUGGUCAGUACUAAAAUUACACUAUGCCAUCACCAAAUGUCCAGCACCAAACCCUUAUUAGGCUAAUAACAGACUCAUUAGAGAUUAGAAGGGGUCACUAUGCCCUUUUGGCUUGGCUUUCAUACAUUGUACUCUACUUUGGUGGAAAAACAAAAUCAUUAAAAUAAAGUUAUGCACGAAUAGCCAUUAAACCUUGUUAUAAACAUUUGGCUCAUUUAACUGUGUAUGGAGUUGGUUAUAUUUGUUCAUCAAGUUAUCCUGAUAAAAGUGGUAAAGAAUUUGGGGAUGUUUUAAAAAUAACCUACAGUUAUGUGCCCAUGAUUUUAGUUUAAUUUAUAAUACUGUAGGAAGAAAAUAAGUAGCGAAGUAAAUAUGGCCAGGCUUGGUUGAGUUGUAUUUCUUUGUCAUCUCUAACCAUAAAUAUAACACAUUUAGAAGUAUUUUUGCACUUCUAUAACCCUGGAGCUAUAAGAAGGAAAAGACUUAUCAGUCAUACAGUAAAUGAAUUGGAACCAGACUUUGCAGGUGUUCAAUUUCCCAUAAAUAUAUUAUUCUAAUAAAAGACUCCUACCAAAAGAUUAAUGCUGCAUUUUAAUCUGAUGUUGGCUUUCUCGGUUGUUAUUUUUUGGUAAUUCCAGUCAACGAUCAGUUUAUUGGUGUUAUUUACACAUUUGUUCAUUCAUUCAGCAAAUUUUUAUUUAUUUAGUAUGUAUCAGGGACUGUGUGGUUGGGGUUCCAGAGAUGAAUAACAUACAAUCUAUGAUGUCAAGGGGCAGAGCUAUGGUACCGGCUCUGGGUGCUCUAUGCAUCCAUGUGUAUCUAUUGGGCUUCCUUCUCUGUGAGGAACCUUAGGUCAUGGUCCCGGGACUCCAUUCGAGGAGAACCUUUGCCAUGGUGUCUCUCUCUGGAGCCCUGUGGACCUGGUAGGGGCAUGUCCAAUGGCUGCUCUGAGUUGGAUGUUUUCCGUUUAAAAUGUUCAGAGGGAUGACUCUAAGUCUGGCUCCGGGUUAUCAUUUUUCCUCAAAUAAAUACUCUAAUUACAUUUAGGGUUUGAUUGCUCUUUUACUUAAUUUAGAAAGAAGCUUCACUGAUGCAUUACAUUUGUUUCUUUGCAAUGUCAAAGAAUACUAUCGUUAUGAUUGGUGCCAUUUGUGAUAAACAAAGAGGAAGAAGCUUACAACAGGACUGAAGAUUCAAAGCCUCUCUCUCAACUGACAUGGGUUUGUACUGGGACAUCACCUCUAGGCUGGUGCAACUCGCAUGCCAACACAAUAGAUACAUUUCUCUAGGCUUUUAAAUUUUUGUUACGUUUUGUGACUUCAAGGUUUCUUUCUUUUUUCCUCUAGGGAAUAGAAAUAUGUAUUUUUUCCCCCAUUUUAUAGGCAAACCACUUCAAUAGAACGUGGCUGGCAGCCAUAUGGUCAUAUAUGAAUCCAACAACCAAUUUAGCAAAGAAAACUGCUUGUAACAAGUUUUGGAUAUGCCAUCCCAGGUAUUACUUUGAUGAUAAACAAGGAGAUGAUCGCCAAGAAAAUGAUAGUAACAUAUAUAAAAAGGUACGUUCCCUUGAGUCAUUUAAUCAUGGUCCAAUUAUUAGUUACCAUCUAUUUGAAGUGAAGUCCAUGGCACUUGUAGGAGGUACUUAACACGUUUUAUGUAUAAUUUUAUAGCAAAAAUAUGGUGUUAAUUUUCAAGCAGCUUACAAUCUAGUAAACUUUUGAAUGAGUGCUUGUACUGCCCUUAUCUGGAACUUCUAGGUCUAGACUUUUGGCUGGCAUGGCUUCCAGAACUGGCUUUAUGACUCUAUUUCAGAACCAGUGUUUCAAGCCAAAACUAAUAAGUGGGGAAUGGCUCAAAGAUGGAAAAACAAAACAAAGCAAAACUUAAGUUAACUAAACACAUUAGAAUCUCAUAAAGAGUUAUUCGGAAUUUGGGGGAAAUGGCUCAUCUCAGUUUUUGUUUUAUGUUACAGGCUAUCACUUCCCUGGAUGGUUCCUUCUGCUCUGACAUUUGCAGAAUCAAAGCUUUAGCCAGACGGCCAUCGCUCUUCACAUGCAGGCGCACACGUGGUGUGUAGUUAGAAUUCUUUUCUUCUACAAUCAGGAGUGGAUAAAAGGGAAAACAAAAGUAUCAGGGUAUUUUAUGAAUUUUGUUUACACUUUACGGAUAGGUGACUGUUGAACCUGUCUGGGGAAAUUAAAUACUCCAUAACCAUUCAUAGAUGUGAUAAGUGCACAUUGAUAGCCCCGUGAACACAGUGAUGAAUAUUUCCUCUGAAGAAAUCUAGAGUAGUUUGUUUUUAUCUGAUUUUAUCAGCUAUUUUCAGUUAUGUUACUAUUUCAACAUUUAGAUAUUUAUUGAAUGUACCAUAAAAAUAAACUUGGCUGAAUUUCUG